rnacentral:lncRNA from 1 species
UGACAGUAGGCUUGAGACAUACCAGAGCAUGAUGCAAGUCACCUUACAUACUUACCAUCCUUGUAAUGAUUACUCGAAGCAAGCACGGCGAGAACUCCAUGAUCUGCGAUGUCGUUAACCUCAGCCUCAGGGGGCUCUUGAUCAGACUGAUAGAUACUUGAUGCUCCCUCUGUAACAUUUUAUAAGACGUUUUGAGUCCAUGGCAGUGUCAAAAAACGUCUUAUAUCAUGUCACCGAGGGAGUACAUAUAUACUCCUGUAAGAAUAGUUGCCCUCAUCGGUUGCCGUCCAUACUCGUUCUUAUGCAUACAUACUUGCUGCAAAUGAUUUCUCUCUUAUAAACUUUAGGAAUUUUCUGAUGGUGUUUGAAAAUUGAAACCCACUAGUACUAGUAUGCAUGGACAAAGAGGCCCUGGUGGCAUUAUUUCUGCAUUGCGUUACAUACUCUGAUGAUAUGCAUGCUCUCAUCAACUUGUGAAUUCCUUGUUAGACUGUAUAUACGUAGCCUCUGUAAUAUACUGUAACAUUGUAUUGUACCCCUUGGGAUAUCUUCUAUAUAAUGAGAUAGCCACACCCCGGUUUAGGGUGUCGAGCAGUUCCCAACAUAUUACGUUUUACAUGGUACCAGAUUAGGUUAAGAUGGCUUCCGCUGCCUCUACCGCCGCCGCCGCCGUCGUUGCGCCGACCUCUGUCGUCGCCCCCGCCAUCGCUGCGCCGGCCCUUGGGUCGCCGUUCCUGGCCUCGCGCCCCCUUGCGAUGGCCCAUGGCGCUCCUCCAUCGCCUGGUCCCCAGAUCGGAUCGGGCCUCCCUGGCGAUCAUGUCGCCCCGCCCAACGUCGUGGCGGGCGAUCUGUACUCGUGCGGCGCUCCUGCAACGGCUCAUGGUGGGCCGCCGCCGCCGUCGUCCUGGAUGGCGCCGCCGUCCGGUGCGCCUCCUGUCCCGCACCACUACGGCGUCCAGUCAUCCCAUCCCUACGGCGCGCCGCCACACCAACCCUAACCGGCGAUCUGUACUCAUGUGGCUGCGGCUGCCUUGCAGUAUGGGGCGCCAGCUGCGGCGUCCUACGGUGCCCCGACGGCUGGUUCUGUCGGGCCCUAUCCGUCCUACUCGGGACCGGCUGCACAUUCGUCGAUGGGCUUCUACGCACCGCCGCAUGCUCACGGUGAUCAGGCCGCAGUGCCGUCGCCGUUUUACUUCUCACACCUGCUACCGGUGAAACUCACGCCAGACAACUACUUGUCCUGGCAUGCCCAGGUGUUGCCUCUUCUGCGGAGUUGCUACCUGGAGGGCUACGUCGACGGGUCCAUCCCGUGUCCGCCCCCUCAGCACCCGGCGUAUCAUGCAUGGGUGGCCCAGGAUCAAGCCAUCCUCUCCGCCAUCCAGUCCUCGCUCGCUCCGAGCGUCUCGUCGCUGGUCAUCUUCGCCGCUACGUCACGAGAGGCAUGGGCGGCUCUUCACACCAGCUUCGCCUCUCAGUCUCAGGCACGUGCCCACUCUAUCCGCACCGAGCUAGGUGAGACCAAGCUUGGUGACCUCAGCAUUACGAACUACUUCAACAAGAUGAGGGGCCUCGCCGACACACUGGCUUCGAUUGGCCAGUCUCUGCAGGACCAGGAGUUUACCACCUUCGUGCUUAACGGGCUUGAUGAUGAUUAUGACAAUCUCGUUGAGAACGUUCAUGGCCGUGAUGAUCCACUUCCACCUCGCGAGCUUUAGGCCCGACUCCUUGGCCGCGAACAGCGCAUCAAGGCGCGUCGUGUCUCACCAGGUUUUGCCUCCGCCAAUGCCGCGACUCGCGGCAAACCUCCGCGGUCAUCAUCUUCCGGUGGCAAGCCGGCACCGUCUUCACAGCCGGCCCCGCGUGGCAAUGCGCCAUCCAUCACGGGUGGCAACCGGCCGGUUGCUUGCUGCUCCUCCUGCGGUGCCCCGCAGGCCUGCCAGCUGUGUGGCCUUGAGCGCCACAUCGCCUCUCGCUGCCUCGUCGCUACAAGCAAGAUUUCCUGGGCCUCAGCAACAAUGGUAAAGGGAACGAUAAGCAGGCCGCCGCCGCCGUGACGAGUCAUGAUCAUGGUCGCACUCCGCCCUACUCCAUUGAUCCGACAUGGUAUAUGGACACCGGAGCUACUAACCACCUCACCGGCGAGAUGGGCAAGCUCUCUACUCAGGAGCCAUAUCGUGGUCAUGAUCAGGUGCACACCGCCAGUGGAGCAGGUAUGCGCAUCUCUCAUGUUGGUCAGGCUUCUCUCCUUGCACACAAUUUUCGCAAACUACAUCUUUCCAAUGUCCUUCGUGUUCCCUCUGCUACGCGUAGUUUGUUGUCUAUUCCUCAACUUACACGUGAUAAUAAUGUCCUUGCCGAGUUUCACCCUUUUCGUUUCUUUAUCAAGGAUCGGGACACGAGGGCCGUUCUGCUUAGCGGUCGUCUUCGCCAUGGCUUGUACGCACUUGAUGCAUCACGCACACCCUCCAUGCAGUCUUCUCCUCAGGCGUUCAGUGGUGUCCGUGUGUCGCCCACUCACUGGCAUGCGCGCCUUGGUCAUCCUGCAGCUCCCAUAGUUCGUCAUGUGUUGCAUCGUUAUGAGCUACCAGUUGUGUCCAAUAAAACUGCUGAAACUUUCUGUGAUGCCUGUCAGCAGGGAAAGAGUCACCAACUUCCGUUUUCAGAGUCUAGUCGUGUUGUGAAACAUCCUCUUGAGCUUGUGUUUUCUGAUGUCUGGGGUCAUGCCCAGACAUCCGUUAGUGGUCACAAUUAUUAUGUCAGUUUUAUUGAUGCCUAUAGUCGGUUUACUUGGUUAUAUCUUAUUAAGCGUAAGUCUGAUGUGUUCGAUGGUUUUAUUCAGUUUCAAGCACACGUUGAGCGUCUCCUUAAACAGAAAAUCAUCCAUGUCCAAUCCGACUGGGGUGGUGAAUACCACAACCUCAACUCGUUUUUUAACAAACUUGGGAUUUCGCAUCGCGUGUCAUGUCCUCAUACACAUCAUCAGAACGGAACUGCCGAACGUAAGCAUCGUCACCUCGUUGAAACUGGCCUAACCUUACUAGCUCAUGCAUCCGUUCCGUUUCGGUUCUGGAGUGAUGCUUUCUCCACAGCCUGUUUUCUUAUUAAUAGGCUUCCCUCACGACUUCUGAAAAUGCAAAACCCGCUUGAACUCUUACUCAAUGAAAUCCCAGACUACACGUUCUUCAAAGUGUUUGGGUGUGCAUGUUGGCCUCACCUUCGUCCAUAUAACAAGCGUAAGAUAGAGUUUCGGUCUAAGAAGUGUGUUUUUCUCGGGUAUAGUUCCCUCCACAAAGGGUACAAGUGCCUACAUGUUCCAACAAACCGCGUCUACAUUUCUCGUGACGUUGUGUUUGAUGAAAAUGUGUUCCCCUUUCGUGCACUUCCGACUCACUCUACCACUCCUAUGUCAUCAGUCCCUGUGUCUAUACCUUCGCCUGAUCAAUUUGUGGAUGUUGCAUAUGCCCCUGCGUUGCUUCCUAAUCAUGCUGCAGGUAUUGGACGCGGCGCCCGUCUCGAGCUUCUUGAUGAACAGGUCGUGGAUGUGACUCGCGCUCCGGACGUGCAUGCGCCAUGCAUGACGGGUGGCGCCUGUCAACCCGCUACCGCCUCACCUGUGGAGGCUGCCUCGCGGGUGCCCGGCUCGCCCGACACACGUGCGCCCGCGCCUGGCUCGCGGGUCGCCGUCUCGACUGGGCCGACGCUGGCCUCGCCCGACGCACAUGCACCCGCCUCGCCUGGCUCGCCUGGGCCGGCUUUGGCCUCGCCCGACUCGCGGGCCUCUGUCUCGCCUGGGUCAGUGCUGGGCUCGCCGGCCGCCGCCUCACUUGGACUGGUGCUGGGCUCGCUGGCCCCUGCCUCGACUGGCCCGAUAGUGCUGUCACCUGCCCCGACCAGCUCUGCUUCGGUCUCCAGUUCGCCGACAGGCUCUGUCUCGGCCUCCUCCGAGUCGGACUCGCCUGGUCCCACGCCGGCCUCGCCACCGCAGCCUACAGUUGCUCUUCGUCCUCGAACACGGAGCCAACACAACAUUUUUCGUCCAAAGGAGCGCACGGAUGGUACGGUUGCGUGGCUUGCUGCGUGCAUGGCCCAUACUACUGCCGAUCCCACUGCAGAGCCUCGUCACUUUUCAGGCUGCACCGAGCAUCCCUCACUGGCGUGCCGCCAUGGAACAGGAAGUUCAGGCUCUUCACAAGAAUGACACCUGGCGUCUUGUUCCUCCAGUACCUGGUGUCAACAUCAUUGAUUCUAAGUGGGUAUUUAAAGUCAAGAGACAUGCUAAUGGUUCCAUCGAACAAUACAAGGCACGGCUAGUCGCCAAGGGUUUCAAACAGAGGUAUGGUCUUGAUUAUGAAGACACGUUCAGUCCAGUCAUCAAGCCUACUACCAUUCGAUUAUUGCUGUCUCUUGCUGUUAUUCGUGGGUGGUUCCUUCGUCAGCUUGAUGUGCAGAACACUUUUCUCCAUGGCAUUCUAGAGGAGGAGGUUUAUAUGCGUCAGCCGCCUGGUUUCAUUGAUCCGGCACGUCCUCACCAUCUCCGUCGACUGGGCGCUAUAUGGACUCAAGCAGGCCCCUCGAGCAUGGCAUGCUCGCCUUGGGUCUGUUCUUCGGGCCCUUGGGUUUACUCCCUCCACUGUUGAUACGUCAUUGUUUCUCCUACAGCAUCCUGAGGUUACGAUGUAUCUCCUGGUUUAUGUUGAUGACAUCAUUCUCAUCAGUUCCUCUGACGCUGCUGCUGAUCGCCUUGUGACUGCUCUCAGUGAUAACUUUGCUGUCAAGGAUUUAGGUGCACUGCAUUUCUUCCUUGGUCUGGAGGUUUCCCGCUCUUCUGCUGGGCUGACUCUUACUCAGAAAAAGUACUCCCUGGACUUGUUGCGGCGUGCUGGAAUGCUUCAGUGCAAACAUGCUGUCACUCCGAUGUCUGCCACUGAUCGGUUGUCUGCCCUUGAUGGAGACUCUCUCUCGUCUGAUGAUGCUACUGAGUAUCGUAGUCUUGUUGGUGGUCUGCAAUACCUUACUAUUACCAGGCCUGAUAUCUCUUAUGCAGUCAAUCAUGUGUGUCAAUUUCUGCAUGCCCCCAGGACAUCUUAUUGGUUAGCUGUGAAGCGUAUUUUGCGCUAUGUCUGUCUUACUGCCUCCUAUGGUUUGCUUCUUCAGCCUGCACCGUCGUGUGAGCUCUCAGCUUUCUCUGAUGCAGACUGGGCUGUUAGUCCUGAUGACAGGCGAUCCACGGGGGGAUAUGCGGUAUUCCUUGGUUCUAACUUGAUCGCCUGGAAUGCUCGUAAGCAGGCCACAGUCUCUCGCAGUAGUACUGAAGCUGAGUACAAAGCUGUUGCUAAUGCAACUGCUGAGAUCAUAUGGGUACAGUCUCUAUUGAAAGAGUUGCGUGUCUUUCCGGCUCAGCCUCCAGUUUUGUCAUGUGACAACACCGGUGCUACAUAUCUCUCUUCUAACCCGGUGUUUCAUGCUCGGACAAAACACAUUGAGGUUGACUAUCAUUUUGUUGGGGAACAUGUUGCACAGAAGCUACUCUGUAUCAAGUUUAUCUCAUCCAAGGAUCAACUUGCUGACAUCUUCACGAAGCCUCUUCCACAACCACAGUUUGUAGGCUGUAGGCGCAAUCUUAACUUGCUUUGUACUUCAGGCCAUAGUUAAGAUUGAGGGAGGGUGUUAGACUGUAUAUACGUAGCCUCUGUAAUAUACUGUAACAUUGUAUUGUACCCCUUGGGGUAUCCUCUAUAUAAUGAGAUAGCCACACCCCGGUUUAGGGUGUCGAGCAGUUCCCAACAUAUUACGUUUUACAUGGUAUCAGAUUAGGUUAAGAUGGCUUCCGUUGCCUCUACCGCCGCCGCCGCCGUCGUUGCGCCGACCUCUGUCGUCGCCCCCGCCAUCGCUGCGCCGGCCCUUGGGUCGCCGUUCCUGGCCUCGCGCCCCCUUGCGAUGGCCCAUGGCGCUCCUCCAUCGCCUGGUCCCCAGAUCGGAUCGGGCCUCCCUGGAGAUCAUGUCGCCCCGCCCAACGUCGUGGCGGGCGAUCUGUACUCGUGCGGCGCUCCUGCAACGGCUCAUGGUGGGCCGCCGCCGCCGUCGUCCUGGAUGGCGCCGCCGUCCGGUGCGCCUCCUGUCCCGCACCACUACGGCGUCCAGUCGUCCCAUCCCUACGGCGCGCCGCCACACCAACCCUAACCGGCGAUCUGUACUCAUGUGGCUGCGGCUGCCUUGCAGUAUGGGGCGCCAGCUGCGGCGUCCUACGGUGCCCCGACGGCUGGUUCUGUCGGGCCCUAUCCGUCCUACUCGGGACCGGCUGCACAUUCGUCGAUGGGCUUCUACGCACCGCCGCAUGCUCACGGUGAUCAGGCCGCAGUGCCGUCGCCGUUUUACUUCUCACACCUGCUACCGGUGAAACUCACGCCAGACAACUACUUGUCCUGGCGUGCCCAGGUGUUGCCUCUUCUGCGGAGUCGCUACCUGGAGGGCUACGUCGACGGGUCCAUCCCGUGUCCGCCCCCUCAGCACCCGGCGUAUCAUGCAUGGGUGGCCCAGGAUCAAGCCAUCCUCUCCGCCAUCCAGUCCUCGCUUGCUCCGAGCGUCUCGUCGCUGGUCAUCUUCGCCGCUACGUCACGAGAGGCGUGGGCGGCUCUUCACACCAGCUUCGCCUCUCAGUCUCAGGCGCGUGCCCACUCUAUCCGCACCGAGCUAGGUGAGACCAAGCUUGGUGACCUCAGCAUUACGGACUACUUCAACAAGAUGAGGGGCCUCGCCGACACACUGGCUUCGAUUGGCCAGUCUCUGCAGGACCAGGAGUUCACCACCUUCGUGCUUAACGGGCUUGAUGAUGAUUAUGACAAUCUCGUUGAGAACGUUCAUGGCCGUGAUGAUCCACUUCCACCUCGCGAGCUUUACGCCCGACUCCUUGGCCGCGAACAGCGCAUCAAGGCGCGUCGUGUCUCACCAGGUUUUGCCUCCGCCAAUGCCGCGACUCGCGGCAAACCUCCGCGGUCAACAUCUUCCGGUGGCAAGCCGGCACCGUCUUCACAGCCGGCCCCGCAUGGCAAUGCGCCAUCCAUCACGGGGGGCAACCGGCCGGUUGCUUGCUGCUCCUCCUGCGGUGCCCCGCAGGCCUGCCAGCUGUGUGGCCUUGAGCGCCACAUCGCCUCUCGCUGCCUCGUCGCUACAAGCAAGAUUUCCUGGGCCUCAGCAACAAUGGUAAAGGGAAUGAUAAGCAGGCCGCCGCCGCCGUGACGAGUCAUGAUCAUGGUCGCACUCCGUCCUACUCCAUUGAUCCGACAUGGUAUAUGGACACCGGAGCUACUAACCACCUCACCGGCGAGAUGGGCAAGCUCUCUACUCAGGAGCCAUAUCGUGGUCAUGAUCAGGUGCACACCGCCAGUGGAGCAGGUAUGCGCAUCUCUCAUGUUGGUCAGGCUUCUCUCCUUGCACACAAUUUUCGCAAACUACAUCUUUCCAAUGUCCUUCGUGUUCCCUCUGCUACGCGUAGUUUGUUGUCUAUUCCUCAACUUACACGUGAUAAUAAUGUCCUUGCCGAGUUUCACCCUUUUCGUUUCUUUAUCAAGGAUCGGGACACGAGGGCCGUUCUGCUUAGCGGUCGUCUUCGCCAUGGCUUGUACGCACUUGAUGCAUCACGCACACCCUCCAUGCAGUCUUCUCCUCAGGCGUUCAGUGGUGUCCGUGUGUCGCCCACUCACUGGCAUGCGCGCCUUGGUCAUCCUGCAGCUCCCAUAGUUCGUCAUGUGUUGCAUCGUUAUGAGCUACCAGUUGUGUCCAAUAAAACUGCUGAAACUUUCUGUGAUGCCUGUCAGCAGGGCAAGAGUCACCAACUUGUUUUCAGAGUCUAGUCGUGUUGUGAAACAUCCUCUUGAGCUUGUGUUUUCUGAUGUCUGGGGUCAUGCCCAGACAUCCGUUAGUGGUCACAAUUAUUAUGUCAGUUUUAUUGAUGCCUAUAGUCGGUUUACUUGGUUAUAUCUUAUUAAGCGUAAGUCUGAUGUGUUCGAUGGUUUUAUUCAGUUUCAAGCACACGUUGAGCGUCUCCUUAAAUAGAAAAUCAUCCAUGUCCAAUCCGACUGGGGUGGUGAAUACCACAACCUCAACUCGUUUUUUAACAAACUUGGGAUUUUGCAUCGCGUGUCAUGUCCUCAUACACAUCAUCAGAACGGAACUGCCGAUCGUAAGCAUCAUCACCUCGUUGAAACUGGCCUAACCUUACUAGCUCAUGCAUCCGUUCCGUUUCGGUUCUGGAGUGAUGCUUUCUCCACAGCCUGUUUUCUUAUUAAUAGGCUUCCCUCACGACUUCUGAAAAUGCAAAACCCGCUUGAACUCUUACUCAAUGAAAUCCCAGACUACACGUUCUUCAAAGUGUUUGGGUGUGCAUGUUGGCCUCACCUUCAUCCAUAUAACAAGCGUAAGCUAGAGUUUCGGUCUAAGAAGUGUGUUUUUCUCGGGUAUAGUUCCCUCCACAAAGGGUACAAGUGCCUACAUGUUCCAACAAACCGCGUCUACAUUUCUUGUGACGUUGUGUUUGAUGAAAAUGUGUUCCCCUUUCGUGCACUUCCGACUCACUCUACCACUCCUAUGUCAUCAGUCCCUGUGUCUAUACCUUCGCCUGAUCAAUUUGUGGAUGUUGCAUAUGCCCCUGCGUUGCUUCCUAAUCAUGCUGCAGGUAUUGGACGCGGCGCCCGUCUCGAGCUUCUUGAUGAACAGGUCGUGGAUGUGACUCGCGCUCCGGACGUGCAUGCGCCAUGCAUGACGGGUGGCGCCUGUCAACCCGCUACCGCCUCACCUGUGGAGGCUGCCUCGCGGGUGCCCGGCUCGCCCGACACACGUGCGCCCGCGCCUGGCUCGCGGGUCGCCGUCUCGACUGGGCCGACGCUGGCCUCGCCCGACGCACGUGCACCCGCCUCGCCUGGCUCGCCUAGGCCGGCUUUGGCCUCGCCCGACUCGCGGGCCUCUGUCUCGCCUGGGUCGGUGCUGGGCUUGCCGGCCCCCGCCUCACUUGGACUGGUGCUGGGCUCGCUGGCCGCUGCCUCGACUGGCCCGAUAGUGCUGUCACUUGCCCCGACCAGCUCUGCUUCGGUCUCCAGUUCGCCGACAGGCUUUGUCUUGGCCUCCUCCGAGUCGGACUCGCCAGGUCCCACGCCGGCCUCGCCGCCGCAGCCUGCAGUUGCUCUUCGUCCUCGAACACGGAGCCAGCACGACAUUUUUCGUCCAAAGGAGCGCACGGAUGGUACGGUUGCGUGGCUUGCUGCGUGCAUGGCCCAUACUACUGCCGAUCCCACUGCAGAGCCUCGUCACUUUUCAGGCUGCACUGAGCAUCCCUCACUGGCGUGCCGCCAUGGAACAGGAAGUUCAGGCUCUUCACAAGAAUGACACCUGGCGUCUUGUUCCUCCAGUAUCUGGUGUCAACAUCAUUGAUUCUAAGUGGGUAUUUAAAGUCAAGAGACAUGCUAAUGGUUCCAUCGAACAAUACAAGGCACGGCUAGUCGCCAAGGGUUUCAAACAGAGGUAUGGUCUUGAUUAUGAAGACACGUUCAGUCCAGUCAUCAAGCCUACUACCAUUCGAUUAUUGCUGUCUCUUGCUAUUAUUCGUGGGUGGUUCCUUCGUCAGCUUGAUGUGCAGAACACUUUUCUCCAUGGCAUUAUAGAGGAGGAGGUUUAUAUGCGUCAGCCGCCUGGUUUCAUUGAUCCGGCACGUCCUCACCAUCUCUGUCGACUGGUUAAGGCGCUAUAUGGACUCAAGCAGGCCCCUCGAGCAUGGCAUGCUCGCCUUGGGUCUGUUCUUCGGGCCCUUGGGUUUACUCCCUCCACUGUUGAUACGUCAUUGUUUCUCCUACAACAUCCUGAGGUUACGAUGUAUCUCCUGGUUUAUGUUGAUGACAUCAUUCUCAUCAGUUCCUCUGACGCUGCUGCUGAUCGCCUUGUGACUGCUCUCAGUGAUAACUUUGCUGUCAAGGAUUUAGGUGCACUGCAUUUCUUCCUUGGUCUAGAGGUUUCCCGCUCUUCUGUUGGGCUGACUCUUACUCAGAAAAAGUACUCCCUGGACUUGUUGCGGCGUGCUGGAAUGCUUCAGUGCAAACAUGCUGUCACUCCGAUGUCUGCCACUGAUCGGUUGUCUGCCCUUGAUGGAGACUCUCUCUCGUUUGAUGAUGCUACUGAGUAUCGCAGUCUUGUUGGUGGUCUGCAAUACCUUACUAUUACCAGGCCAGAUAUCUCUUAUGCAGUCAAUCGUGUGUGUCAAUUUCUGCAUGCCCCCAGGACAUCUUAUUGGUCAGCUGUGAAGCGUAUUUUGCGCUAUGUCUGUCUUACUGCCUCCUAUGGUUUGCUUCUUCAGCCUGCACCGUCGUGUGAGCUCUUAGCUUUCUCUGAUGCAGACUGGGCUGGUAGUCCUGAUGACAGGCGAUCCACGGGGGGAUAUGCGGUAUUCCUUGGUUCUAACUUGAUCGCCUGGAAUGCUCGUAAGCAGGCCACAGUCUCUCGCAGUAGUACUGAAGCUGAGUACAAAGCUGUUGCUAAUGCAACUGCUGAGAUCAUAUGGGUACAGUCUCUAUUGAGAGAGUUGCGUGUCUCUCCGGCUCAGCCUCCAGUUUUGUGGUGUGACAACAUCGGUGCUACAUAUCUCUCUUCUAACCCGGUCUUUCAUGCUCGGACAAAACACAUUGAGGUUGACUAUCAUUUUGUUGGGGAACAUGUUGCACAGAAGCUACUCUGUACCAAGUUUAUCUCAUCCAAGGAUCAACUUGCUGACAUCUUCACGAAGCCUCUUCCACAACCACAGUUUGUAGGCUAUAUGCGCAAUCUUAACUUGCUUUGUACUUCAGGCCAUAGUUAAGAUUGAGGGAGGGUGUUAGACUGUAUAUACGUAGCCUCUGUAAUAUACUGUAACAUUGUAUUGUACCCCUUGGGGUACCCCCUAUAUAAUGAGAGAGCCACACCCCGGUUUAGGGUGUCGAGCAGUUCCCAACAUAUUACGUUUUACAUUCCUUCAUUGAUGGCUCUGCUUGAAAAUUGCCUGCAAGCUCUACUCUGAAGGAGGCAACCAUGUCCAACUGAUACACACGACAUUUGUAGCACAAGAGCUUGGCUUAAAACUUGUCGACCAACUCAGAGGCCAUAGGACAUAGCACCCUCUUCUUUUACAUACAUACGCGCAAACUGAUGAUCAAGGUUAAGACACUUAUUUUGGGACGGAGUGAGUAUUACCUUAGUAGAACUAUAUUGCCGGAGUGAGUUUCUUUUUACAGAAAGGGCCAAGUCUAUAUGUUGAUAAACUAGCCCUUAUAAGAACAUCACUAAAAAGGGAAAAUUAUAGGCAAGUUCUUGAUGAAAUCAGCACUGUCCUCAUUCUACAUCCACAGCUUGUUGCCGCCUAUGGACCUCCAUCUCAUCGGAGCAACCUUGUUGAAACCGAGGAGCUUGAAGAAGCAGCGGUCGGGAAGUCGUGUUCCUUUUCCUACAAGGCUGCUCCGAUGAGAUCUAGAUUAUUAUAUUUCUACAACUUCAAAAAUAAGCAGUGUUCCUUUUCCUACAAGGCAGAACUCUUCGGUAAUCGGUUUCUCCCUCCCAUCACGUCCCUUUAUCGAUUUUUUUAGAGUGGAUUUUCUACUCUCGGGUGUAUUACACCCAAGUUGUCAAAAAAAUUGAAAACUGAUAUCAAACAACAUCGAAAAAAUCUAAAAUUUUGCGACAUCAAACUCUAUCGAAUGUUUGAGGUUCUUGCAAAAUUUCAUCCAAAAAUAACAUCCGAGGACCUCCCACAAAAAAAUCGCUGCUCAAAUAGUGCAUAGAACUUUGAACUGCGAUUUUGAUUUUUUGGUCAGAGCUCAAGUAUGAAAGAAUUAUGGAAGCGUCUCAAUCUCCAUAUAGGGAGACCCGCGUUGUAUAUAUUCAUAGAUGAUGGUGCGUACAAUGUGCGGCAGCCCCUGUCUAACCAUCGAGAGAAUAUACAGGAGAGGUUACGUGGGAAAGAGGGUAGAGAGAAGAGAGGACUCCUAACAACUCUAACCUCCUGGCAAAUAUUCUACGUACAUGACUCUUACGUAUAUUGUGACAGCACACAAUACCACAUAUUGCAUGUCUAACACUCCUAAUCUGAACUUCUCAAGUUAAGAUUAUGUUUGAACUCUUCAAAUUGUCUUGUAGCCAAGGCCUUUGUAAACCCAUCUGCAACUUGGUCUUUUGAAGGAAUAAAUCGAAUAUCCAACUCCUUGCUCGCAAACCUUUCUCUAACAAAAUGGUAAUCAAUCUCAAUGUGUUUAGUCCUCGCAUGAAACACAGGAUUAGCAGAAAGAUAUGUGGCACCAAGAUUGUCACACCAAAGACAUGGUGUCUGAGCAUAUAUUCCAAGUUCCUUGAGCAUGGACUUAACCCAUAUGAUCUCUACUGUUGCAUUAGCCAGUGCUUUGUACUCUGCCUCGAUACUAGAUCGUGACACUGUUGCUUGCUUCUUGGCACACCAAGAAAUAAGAUUAGGUCCAAAGAAAACUGCAAAACCACCCGUGGACCUCCUGUCAUCCAGGCAUCCUGCCCAGUCAGAAUCAGAGAAAGCACUAACAAGAGUAGAUGAGGACUUGUUGAAGGUGAGUCCAACACUUAAAGUGUUCUUUACAUAUCGCAAAAUACGCUUAGCAGCAGUCCAGUGAGCUGAGGUAGGUGCAUGAAGAAACUGACACACUUUGUUGACUGCAAAGGAAAUAUCAGGCCGUGUAAGUGUCAAGUAUUGAAGUGCACCAACCAGACUUCUAUACUUGGUGCCAUCCUCUUGACUCAAGAGUACACCCUCUGCAAGAGACAGUUUUUCUGCACUGGAAAGCUGAGUUGGGGAUGGUUUACAGCCUUGCAUCCCAGCCUUGCUCAAAAGGUCAGUUGCAUAUUUUUCCUGAGAAAGAUGAAGUCCACCUUCAUGGUUUAUCUUUACCUCAAUACCAAGAAAGAAGUGAAGAUCUCCUAGAUCCUUGAGAGCAAAAUCUAAGUGCAAAUCUUGCAACAAAGCGGUGACAGCCUUAUCAAAGGAAUUGGUAACAAUAAUAUCAUCGAUAUAAAUAAGAACAAAAAUGAUGGUAUGUGACUUAUUAUAAAUGCACAAGGAUGUGUCUGACUUGGAGGGAAUGAAACCAAGUGUUUGCAGUUUGGAGCUCAAGCGGGAAUACCAUGCUCUGGGGGCUUGCUUUAAACCAUAGAGGGAUUUGUCAAGCCGACAGAUAUGGAACGGUUUGUUUUUAUCCUCAAACCCAGGAGGUUGUUUCAUGUAAACUUCCUCUUCCAGAACACCAUGAAGGAACACAUUCUGCACAUCUAGCUGAGGAAGACUCCAGCCUCUGGACACAACAAUGGACAAAACAAGACGAAUGGUGGCAGCUUUAGCAACAUGAGUGAAAGUGUCCUCAUAGUCAAGUCCAUACCUUUGCUUAAACCCCUUAGCAACAAGCCUUGCUUUUAUCAAUAGUGCCAUCAUACCGACGUUUGAUGCGGUACUCCCACUUGCAAUCAAUGACAUUCUUGCGUGGAUGAUACAUAACAAGGUGCCAAGUAUGAUUUUCCUGAAGAGCAUGAAACUCGUCAUCCAUAGCCUGCUUCAACCGAGGAUCAACAAGAGCAUCAUUAACAUUAUGUGGUUCACCUAUGGAAUCAAAAGAAAUAGCCAAACAAUAUUUAGUUUUGUAAUUGACAGGCUGAAGGAUCCCUGUCUGAAGCCGCGUGCGGGGUGGCAUUGGUGGAGUUGUAGAAGAUCCAGGCGAGGCGGCAGGCUGUUGCAGAGGAGAUCCUGCCGAUCCCGAGGGAGCAGAUCCGGCAUGCAGUGCGGGAUCAUUUGUGGUCGAGGACGUGGAGGGAGGAGCAGAAGCGGUUGCAGAGGAUUCGUGCAGGCGAGGAGCACGGAGCGGAUCUGGCACAGAUCCCGCGUCUGGCCCGAUUGACGCAGCCGCAGGGGCUCGCCUAGAGUAGACUUGCGGGGCCGACGCGUACCGCCCGGUCGGUUGGUCCCCUAGCUCUGAUUGGUGCGUCGCGCCCAGGGUGGCCAACUCGGGGAAGGAGCACGACGUGGCGGAGAGAGGUUGGCACGGAGUGGAGUGCGGGCUGCCCAAUCCCACCAGGAGGGGCGCUGAUCCUGAGGGGGAUACGGUCGGCCCUGACGCAGUCAGGGGCUCCGAUCCCGAGGGAUAUCCCCCCCUGAUCGCUUGUGUCCUCUUUUGUACCUUCUGGUACAUUAUUUUCUGCACUGUGUUCUGUCACGUUUGUUUCUGCAACAUAAAACUCAGAUGCAGUAGGAGAGAUAUUAGUCAAAGUUGGGUAUAUACAAUUAUCAACACCCUCACACGGAACGCCGGAGAGAUGAGGGGGAAGGAGAAGAAUUUCCUUCCAGAGUAGAGCGCCGGCAUUUGAAUGAAGUUUUUCAAAGGGAAAUUGAGUUUCACCAAAAACGACGUCACGUGAGAUAUAAACACGCCUGGUGGAAACAUCUAAACACUGGACGCCCUUAUGUUGAGCACUAUACCCAAGGAAAACACAUUGCUUAGAACGAAAACUGAGCUUACAAGUGUUAUAGGGACGAAGAUUUGGCCAACAUGCACACCCAAAGACUCGAAGAGUGGUGUAAUCUGGUGUGACAUGAAGGAGGCGUUCAGUGGGGGUUUCAUUGAAGAUAGUACGACUGGGCCACAUGUUAAUGAGAUGUACGACAGUGAGAAAAGCUUCGUCCCAAAAUUUGAGUGGCAUAGAAGCAGAAGCUAAAAUAGUGAGACCUACUUCAACAAUGUGUCUAUGCUUACGUUCAGCGGAACCAUUUUUUUGGUGAGCAUGUGGACAAGAGACAUGGUGAGAGAUACCUAUCUUCUAAAAGAAAGAAUACAAUUUCUCAUACUCACCAUCCCAAUCUGGUUGCACAGAAAUUAUUUUGCUAUCAAAUUUACGUUCAACAAGGGCUUGGAAAUUGUGGAAAACUUGAAACACAUCAGCACGUUUCUUAAGAAGAUAUAUCCACGUAUACUUGCUAUAGUCAUCAAUGAAGCUCACAUAAUAAGAAUAUCUACCAACAGAGGUGGGGGCAGGACCCCAGACAUCAGAAAAAAUAAGUUGCAAUGGCUUAGUAGACAUACUAGUAGACACAGGAUAGGGUAAUUGAUGACUUUCUGCUCUUUGACAUGAAUCACAAACGGUUUCUAAAUUUCUCUCACCAACAACUGGGAGGUUAUUUCUACUAAGAAUCUGAUGAACAGUUAAAAAGGAUGGGUGACCUAAGCGAUUGUGCCACCUUUCAGCAGAAAGCUUGAUGGCACCAUACACUUGUUUACUGUACUGGUAAUGCUUGGGAAGUAGAGCAUAGAGACCUUCGACACAAACACCCCUAUGGAGAAUUUCCUUCGUGACCUGAUCCUUGAUCAAAAAGAAGAAUGGGUGAAAUUCUAGAAACACAUUAUUGUCAAGAGCAAUACGAUGGACAGAUAGCAAAGUUUUGGAAGCAUUAGGAACAUACAAGAUAUCAUUGAGUUCAAGAUUUUUGUGUGGGGUUUUGAUAAAAGAUUGACCAACAUGACUUAUCUCCAUACCUGCAUCGUUUGUUGCAAUGUAGACUUGAUCAUGGCCAUGGUAUUUUUCAUGCAUUGUCAACUUCUCCAGUUCUCUAGUGAUGUGAUUUGUGGCACCUGUGUCCAUAUACCAGUUGGUAUCUACUCCAUAUGACAUGUCAGCUGCAGCUGCAAUUUUCUUUUUUCUGGGCAUUGUUGUCAUCGGCAUAGCGCCAAUCACAAUAUUUUGCAAUAUGAUUUGUUUUCUUGCAAAUUUGGCACUUGUUUUCAUAACCUUCAUACCCUUGGAAGUUGCUCCCCCGAUUGUUGUUGCCAGGGAAGGGGGGGGGGCGCCGAUUGUUGUUGUUGCCACCACCGUAGUUGUUCUGAUGGUAGUGGCCACCACCACCACCACCACCACCUUGAUAGCCCCCACCAUUGUUCUGUUGGAAGCCAUAACCCCCGCCAGAACUAGGGUUAGGGUUUUGGUAGCCACCGCCACCUCCUGUGCCGUAGCCGCCGCCAGCGCCGUGGCCGCUGCCACCACCAGCGCUGUAGCCGCCGCCGCUGCUUGUGCCAUAGUCGCCACCGCUACCUGGGCCAUAGCCGCCGCCGCUGCGAGGGCCACCAGAACCCCCGCCCUUGCGGUAGCCACCCUUGCCACCACCACCACAGCCGUGCAAGGCAGCGUUGGCGGCCGACUUGAAACUGGUGGUGCCAUGAAACAUCUCAACCCGCUGCUCAUAGUUGGCCACGAGAUAGAAAAGGCCGUCGACGGUGAUGGGCUCGGUGCAGACAUCCAGCACGGAGAGAUGGGUUGAUAGUCCAUGUCGAGGCUGGCGAUAAUGAAGGAGAUGAGCUCGCCGUCCCCGAGUGGUUUGUCCGCCGCCGUGAGCUCAUCGGAGAGGGGGAGCAUAUGGCCGAAGUACUCUGUGGCCGACAGGGAGCCCUUCUGGGCGUUCGUGGGCACGACGCGAAGAUUGUUGGCACAGGAUAGCGACACCGCAAAGAACAUGGUGGCCAAGCACUACAAAAAAAGACACAUCCGUGACAUUUUGGGUCGAACGAAAAUCUUUUCUGUCAUACUUAUGACACUUUUAUGACGAUAAUUGUGACAAAACCCAGUAUCAUCAUAGGUGUGGUGGGGUCCUACUUCUAUGACAAAAACUCAUGACAGAAAAUGGGCUUUUCGUCCUGGGUGGGCCGGAGACGCAGCUGCAUGACAUUCUUUGGGUCGUCCAUGACAGAAAAAACCGUGGUAGAAGCGAGGGCGAGGAAAAUAUCGGGGUGUUCCCGGUUACGGUGGGUGGUCGGGGCCGAGCGAUGCGCGUUUCUCUCGUACACACACGCGCGUGGGUGCGAGGCGUUGGGCUCUAACUGAACCCGAGCGAGGCGUUGGGCUCUAACUGAACCCAAGCGAUUGCACUGCAGGCUACGCGUUACUGAACCCGAGCGGUCGAUCGAUGGCUGUUAACUGAACCCGACCGAGCGAUUCCUUCGCUACUGCUGCUAACUGAAGCCGAUCGAUGCUGCCUCUGGAUGAACAGUGAGCGUUGCUGGGGGGGUUUGGAUGAACAGUUCCCGGUGGGGGUGGAUGAACAGGACCCUGUGGUGUUGCCUCUGGAUGAACAGGACCCCGAUCGAUCGAGCCGGUUGGGGCUGGAUGAACAGGACCCCGUGGAGGGCAGGAUGAACAGGACCACCCCGUGGAGGGCAGGAUGAACAGUAGACGGUGGAGGGCUGGAUGAACAGUAGACCGUGGAGGGGUGGUUGAACAGGAGCCCGUGGAGAAGGCUGGUUGAACAGUAGCCGGUGGAGUAGCGCGCGGUGGAGGCUGGAUGAACAGGAGCCCGUGGAUGAACAGUCGCAGGUGGAGGCUGGAGGAGGUCGACGGUGGAUGAAAAACAGUAGCCCGUGGAGGCCGGAGGGGGUCGACGGUGGAGAUGNNNNNNNNNNNNNNNNNNNNNNNNNNNNNNNNNNNNNNNNNNNNNNNNNNNNNNNNNNNNNNNNNNNNNNNNNNNNNNNNNNNNNNNNNNNNNNNNNNNNNNNNNNNNNNNNNNNNNNNNNNNNNNNNNNNNNNNNNNNNNNNNNNNNNNNNNNNNNNNNNNNNNNNNNNNNNNNNNNNNNNNNNNNNNNNNNNNNNNNNNNNNNNNNNNNNNNNNNNNNNNNNNNNNNNNNNNNNNNNNNNNNNNNNNNNNNNNNNNNNNNNNNNNNNNNNNNNNNNNNNNNNNNNNNNNNNNNNNNNNNNNNNNNNNNNNNNNNNNNNNNNNNNNNNNNNNNNNNNNNNNNNNNNNNNNNNNNNNNNNNNNNNNNNNNNNNNNNNNNNNNNNNNNNNNNNNNNNNNNNNNNNNNUGGAGUCCCGUUUUGCGGUACGCCACACCCCUCCCGAUGAACAGGACCCCCGUUUCGACCGUAGCGCUCCAACACAAGUCCGUUUCCUCCGUUUUGCGGUACGCCACACCCCUCCCGAUCAACAGGACCCCCGUUUCGACCGUAGGAGGUCCGUUUCCUCCGUUUUGUGGUACGCCAGACCCCUCCCGAUGAACAGGAUCCCGUUUCGAACAUGGCCGGUCGAACACAAGGCCGUUUCCUCCAUUCCGCGGUACGCCAAGCCUCGUUUCCAUCGGCUGUUCCGUCCAAGCCCUCCCGAUGAACACGACGACGCAUUCCGUUCCGACCCAGCCGGUUGGCUCCCCAUGAACACGACGACGACGCUGUUUCUCCGUUCCGACCCAGCCAUGUACACGACCCCUGGCCGUACGUACGCGCGAGUAGGCGUUCGAGACCCCGCUCGUAUGUACGUACGUGGCCGUAUUUACUUUCUUGCACCCUGGCCGCUGUACGUACGUGUACAUGCUACGUGCGCGCCUCUACUACGACACGUGUGUGCCUCUACAUCGACCAGUAUGCACGUACACGUUCGCGACCAGAAUGACAACGCUACGUACGCUUCGACCAGGUGGGUCCCGACUGUCAGGCAGUUCCUUGUGUGCGAAGAUGUAGCUCGUGGGUCCCAGCAGUCAGGGGGGCGAAUCGUUUUUUUUUGCCCGGACGCACUUCCUUGCGUGCGAAGAUGUAGCUGGUGGGUCCCAGCAGUCAGGGGGAAACAUUUUUUUCGCGAAAAACGGUGGCCCGUCCGGUGGGUCCCCGCUGUCAGGUGGAGGAAUAUUUAUUUUGCGCGUAAUAAGGAGGCACUUCCUUGCUGCGGCCGUGGACCCAGCUGUCAGCCUCUCCAUGUACUCUUCCGAUGGAAGUCGGUCGUUGACCACAUUGACCACGCCGCGCCGAGUGCACCAAGGCGGUGGACGAUGGCGAGGCCUAGGAAGGGGACGACGCGGAGCCAGGGAGGAUGCGGCAGUGGAAGCACACGCGAAGAGGAGUACGAGGGUUCACUGGUUCGGCUGCGGUGUGAGGCUGCCGUCGCCGCAGGGCCUGGUCAGCAGUGGGAAUAGUAGGGGGCGGUGAGGCCUCCGCGGCAGCACAGCCGGCCACGGGAGGCAGGAGCAUGCGGCACGACCGGCGCUGCUUUUGGCGGCUGGAGCAAGAAGACCAGAGGUUGAAGAAGCACAACGGCCGUUGGAUGGACAUCGUACGGUCACUAGAGCUAGAAUCAUUCAUAUUGACUAAGUUGACAAAGCACUCCUCCCCGUCAACUUAGUAGGUGCACAAGUCAGCCACCCACCAAGGUGGGUCCCAACUAGCAGGGGGAGUAUUCAAUUUUUUGUGCGUAAUAAGGCGACACUUCCGGUGGGUCCAAGCUGACAGCGGGGGGAACGUUUUUUUCGUGAAAUACGGUGGCCCGUCCAGUGGGUCCCAGCAGUCAGGGGGGAAACUUUUUUUGCCAAAUACAUUGGUCCGUCCGGUGGGUCCCUGUUGUCAGGUGGAGGAAUAAUUAUUUUCCGCGUAAUAAGGAGGCACUUCCUUGCGGCUGCCGUGGACCCAGCUGUCAGCCUCUCCACGUACAAUACUCUUCUGAUGGAAGUCGUUCCUGGACCACGUUGACCACGCUGUGCCGAGAGCACCAGGGCGGUAGACGACGGCGAGGCCUAGGAAGGGGACAACGCGGAGCCGGGGAAGAUGCGGCAGUGGAUGCCCACGCGUAGAGGAGUAUGAGGGUUCACUGGUUCGCUGCGGUGUGAGGCUGCCGUCGCCGCAGAAUAACAGGGGGUGUGGGUGAGUACAGGGAUGGCCUGGCCAGUGGUGGGAGUAGUAGGGGGCGGUGAGGCCUCGGCCGCAUCGCAGCCGGCCACGGGAGGCAGGAGCACGAGGCACGACCGACGCUGGUUUGGGCGGCUGGAGCAAGAAGACCAAAGGUUGAAGAAGCACUACAGCCGUUGGAUGGACAUCGUACGGUCACUGGAGCUAGAAUCGUGCAUAUUGACUAAGUUGAUAAAACCCUCCGUCCCCGUCAACUUAGUAGGCCCACAAGUCAGCCUGCCACUAUACUGGGUCCCAGCUAGCAGGGGGAGUAUUCAUUUUUUGCGCGUAAUAAGGACACACUUCCUUGCGUGCGAAGCUAUAGCUAGUGGGUCCAAGCUGUCAGCGGCGGUAACGUUUUUUUCGCGAAAUACAGAGGCCCUUUCGGUGGGUCCCAGAUGUCAGGUGGAGGAAUCAUUAUUUUGCGCGUAAUAAGGAGGCAUUUCCUUGCGUGCGGCCGUGGACCCAGCUGUCAGCCUCUCCAUGUACAGUCCACUUCAGAUGCAUGCCGGUCGUUGACCAUGUUGACCAGGCCGGGCCGAGAGCACCAGGGCGGUGGACGACGGCGAGGCCUAGGAAGGGAACGACACGGAGGCAGGGAAGACUCGGCAGUUGUUUCCCACGCGGAGGGGAGUACGACUGUACGAGGGUUUACUGGUUCGUGUGCCGUCGCCGGAGAAUAACAGCAGGUAUGGGUGAGUAGAGGGAUGACUAGGCCAGCGGUGGGAGUACGGUGAGGCGGUGAGGCCUGCGCGGCAGCACAGCCGGCCGCGGGGAGGAGGGAGCAGGCAGUCCCGCUGGCGCUUGUUUGAGCGGCUGGAGCAGGAAGAACAGAGAUUGAAGAAGCACGACGGCUGUUGGAUGGACAUCCAACAGUCACUGCUUGUGCGUCAACCUUUUUUUUAGGAAAGCCUCAAAUCUGUAGAAAACAGCAUACAUCGCAUCUGCCAUUAUUUCUAAUAAUUUACAGCCCAUUUGCUAAUUCUUAAGGUUUUUUUUGGAGCCCAUAUUCUUUUUCAUAGCAUUACAGCCCAUAUUGUGGCCACGGUUAAAAAAUUAUACGAAAUGUUGCAUAUUUCGGUGCGGUCCGAACUGUUUUAAUCCCGAAAUUUCGAGUCACAUUCAAACUGAUUUUAAAAAUAAAUGUCUAUCAAUAUAAAAUCCAACAAAUUGUCCACGCAUAAAAAAUAAUGCAAUUCAAAAUCUUGAAAUGAAAAAAAGAAAUUUGAAAGUAAUCGCCGGUUUGAUGUGUUUUAAAAAUGUACAACCCAUUUCUCAUUACUGAUAGGCCAUUUUCUCGUCCAGCCGAAUGAAACUCUCCUCGUCUUGAAAGAUUUGCAGCCCAACAGGCCUGACAAAGCGACUUACUUGGCAAAUGACAAAAAAAACUGGGCUAGCCAUUUUCAGAAAGAAAAAAAAACUAGGCUGGUCUGUGGUAAACAUAAAAGAGAAGGCUGUCUAGACAGGCCAGAGUGCCCCGCACAACCCAGUUGACACCCUGCUUCCGUCUCAAAAACAAAUUAGAUAAAUGCCACAACAAAUAUGGCGAUUCAUAAAAAUACCACUGCAAUUUCCAAACUUUGAAAAAUGCCACUGCAAUUUUUGCAAACUUUGGAAAACGCCACUGCAAUUUGCAAACUUUGAAAAACGCCACUCUAGACUUCGAAAAAUGCCACUGGAAAUGGCAUGAAAUGGCAUUUUUCAAAGUUUGGAAAUUGCAGUGGCAUUUCUCAGAAACACCAGAUUUGGAGUGGCAUUUAUCAAAUUAACCCAAAACAAAAAUAACUGGGCGAGCUGCUGGGUCUCUGGUGUCAGCCGCUCGUUGUGCAACUCUCUCGUUUAUUGACUACGUUGACAAUGGCAUGGGACCCAGAUGUCAGAAAUCCAUUAGGAGGAGCCAUUUUUUUUUGGAUUGAAAUAAGGAGGCACUUGCUUGCGUACUGCCAUGACCUUGGCGGGUCCCUGCUGUCAUCCUCUCCACAUACAAUCAUCUCCUGAUUGCGUACGCGUCAACUUGGUAGGCCCACAAGUCAGCCUCUAAACCCGUGGAGGACAAAUACAACCCAUAAAAAAAUAACAGCCCAUUCCAUACGUUCAAACGGAAAGUUCAACAUUCAGAGCAAAGUAACAGGUCUGAUCCACAUAUAGAGUACUGAACUUCCACGUUGACAACCAUCAUAGCCAAGUUAACUAUCUACUCCCACUAAUACUCUAGUAGCGUACAAGUAUUAACUUACUCUUAGCUAACUAGACGAUGUCGGACGCCAUCUACGGUACACGCUAAACGCCGGCACCGGCGUCCUCCGCCUCGCCUCGGACUUGCCAGAGGUGCGAUAGGGCGCGUUGCUCGCGCGCGUUGGCCCUUUCCAUGCCGGCGUGGUCCACCGAAGCUUCGGCUUCUAAGCGGGAAACCCACUUGACGAGCUGGUAGUAAAAAUCAGCGUCGCGAACGCGUGCGUGCCCGACAGCCUCCAGGGCUAUUUGGCGGGCGCCGGCCUCCACGUAGUCGGCCCAGGUGCGGGCGCUCUGCUCACGACUCAGAGUGUUGGUGCGCUGCUGCUCCAUGUCCCGCUGGCGGCGCAAAUCGGUGAUACGCUGCUCCUCCGCCAAGCGGUCGCGCUCCAACAACUCCUGCUCCUCCGCCAGGCGGUCGCGCUCCAACAUGUCCUCGAUCUCUGCAUUGCCAUCUAAAGACCGAUAGAAUGCCUCCUCCCUCCGUCCGCCUUUCGGUGAAAAACCGAACACUAGUUUCGGCGGUGACCGCCUCUGGCCUCGCCUAUCGCGGACGGGCGGGGGCAUGGAGGACGUGGCGAGAGCGAGGAUAAGUGGCGAGCGACGUCUGGCCGGUGGGGGCUUAUGAGGAUAGGGCGAGUUUGGUCACGGUGCCACCAUAGAAGGCCGGGAAACAGUACUUAUAGGCGGAAGGUAGCGCGACGGUCAUCGGAAUUCAAUGCAUAAUUAAGCAGGCAUGGUUUAGCGCGCCAGCUUGCCGUGGAAAACUAGAGAUCCGUGCUGUCCCGUCCCGUCCGUGCUGGGUCGCACGCCGGCAUGACGGUCAAACGAGUGCACUCGAAUCAUCUCCCUCGUCAAUAAUGGUUCCAUGGAUUUAAAAGGUCCGCAACAAUUAAAGCGCAUCUUUUUUUGCAUCAGUUAGCUGCCUUAAUUACGGCCGGCUGCAUGGAGGCACUCAAAAUCGCUCGCAGCCAGUACGCGGAGCAGCAUGCAACGAGUCACAGCCGAGGGCAUUAGUUGAUGAACUUUAGCUGGGAGAUAAGGCAUUUGCGAACAUUUUCGCUGGCAGUUUCUUCAUAUUUGCAUGGCAUUUUCUUCAGAGCAGCUUGUCAGUUUCUUCAAAGGUAGGCAUUUUAAUUCAAAAAACUGCCACUUUGGAUCUUGCGUCGCAACUAAAACAGCCAGGAGCAAAUUAGUAGGCUAGCUAGCGAUCGACCAGUAACUUGUAAACACUGAGAGAAUAGAUAUAAGGAAUUGUUAAUGCAUCUCAAUGAUUCACAGAUCAUAUACAAUAUGUAGCUCCAAAAGCAAAGAUCAGCCACAACUAAAACCAACUAGUAUGAUUCCCAUACAUAAGAUCAACAUGUUAAUGCAUCUCAAUGAUUCACAGAUCAUAUACAAAUAUGUAGCUCCAAAAGCAAAGAUCUAGAAAAAACAUAUGUUCUUCCUACUAACAUGGAUGCUUCUCUUGGCCAACAUUCAGUACAGACUGAAAGAUAAUUUUUUUUGUGAACUCUAUAAUUCCUCUUGCAAACGUAAGUGGUUUCACCAACAGCUGGAACCAUGAGAAUGAACCACACAUGAUGGAGGAACAUCCACUGCAAUAUGAUUUGGUCUUCUCUUGAUCACACGACGAGACUAUUUUCGGAAUACAAACUUUAACUUAGGAAAAAUGAUGCCCAUUGUAUAAUCAGACCAAAGCAAUGAAGCACCUAGUGUUGGCCAAUAAAUAGUACAGUACUACUUUUCUGCAGUCCAUGAAGUGACUAUCCAAUCUUUCUGUGUCUAUUUUCAAAUGGCACUACAUGCAGUGACUAUACUAUUCUCUUGUGCAGUUCAACCAAAAUUGCGGUCACUUUGUGUGUUUGCCAAAUAGCAACGGGCAGACAUCUCUGUCUGCACAAAUAUCAAGUAGCUAGUAAACAUAUACCCCACCUUGUAUUUUUGGUUUAAACAUGUCUCUUCCGCUUAGCAUCUGUCAUGUUUUGCACGGGACAAUUUGAUACAGUCAUGUUUUGCCCUGGACAAUUUCAUACUGAAUUGAUUUGCUUGUUCAGAGCAGAAAUAUAGUGCCUAUUCUUCAUCAAACCAAGGAUAUCCAUGUUCGCAGUGAUGGAAGAGGUGAAAUCGAUACAACCGAAAUUGAGCAUCCGAUCAUUGAAUCCUGUCCUGCACCUCCAAUGUAGGUCCACCCUGCCAAUAAGUUCACAUGCAAACCACUAGUAUUACUAUCUAAUGAUAGUACAAAAAGACUAGCAAGAUAGUAGCAAACCAUGUACCUUCUUAAUGAACAGCUCAUAGUGCCACCAAUUGGAUAUAAAGGUUUGGAAGAAAACAUGCUCCUAAUGUUGAACCAGUUGGACUUUUUGUGCAGUUCCACUAAAAUCGAGCAUCCCUGUUUGCAUAGAUAUUGAAAGUGUGAUUACUAUAAAAGUGGCACUAGUUGAAGCAUAGACUCACAAAUAUAAGCAUUCCAAUUUCUUAAUGGAAAAAGGUAGCAAGACUGUCGUGGGUUUGUAACGGCAGAUGUCCUAGCGAAAGGAUUAGUCAUGGAGCCAUCGCAAUGGGUUAGCUUGAAGGGGUUAAAGCGGACAAGGGAUGCAAGAGAGUUUUAUACUAGUUCGGCCCCUUCGAGGAAGGUAAAAGCCUAUGUCUAGUUGUGAUGGAAUUGAUGGGGUUUCGAUGACAGCGAAUACGCUUUGCCUGAGUCUCGAGUUGUUGUUUGUUGUCCUUGAACCGCCGCCGGGUCGUGCCUUUAUAUACACAGGUCGACGCCCGCUGGCUUACAGAGUCCCGAUGCCGGUUUAUAACCAUACCGGCUUGGUCUCUACUUUGUCAUACCUUACAAUACAAGUCAUGUACUACAUGGCGGUUUAUAGCUAUAGGCCUUAAUCUACCUUUGGGCCUUGGGCCUUCGAGUCUCUAUAGUAAACCGCUUUAUUCCUUGUCUUCAUGGGCUUUUAAGUAUAAACAAUCCAUUAUGGGAAUAACCCGGCUUCCUUGGCCGGUUUACACCUAGUAGUAAUAUCCCCAACAUUAGGCCCCAGAUUGAUUUGAACUGGUUCAUGUCAAUCUCCAAAACCUUGAGAAAAUUUCUUCUUCCAUAUCUUCGCAUAAAUCUUGUAAACCACCAUGACGUCAUCAUCCAGAAUCAUAAUAAACUGCCAUGACGUCAUCAUCCAGAAUCAUAAUAAACCGCCAUGACGUCAUUUGUUAUUUUAAAUGGUAUAUUCCUCACCUUCAUUAAUGAGCCUCCGACAAUCGAGGCGACAAAUCUGUCACAUAUCCAUUUGUUUGGCUCCUCAAUUCUUGCGCUUGACCCUUAUCCUUUCGUCUUUAUAAAUACGGCCGAGGGUCCUUUCCAUUUCCCCCCUUUCUCUUCGUCUCCUUCUUCUUCCUCGCGACGUCUCAGAACCCGAGCUCUGCCGCCGCCGUCGACCUUCGUAUCUGCAUCAACCAAGGCCACUGCAUCAACCUAAUCGAACCAGAGCAACGCGGCGCUCCUCCGCUGUUCCGCAGCACCGGUGAGUUCAUUUCUUUUUCAACCUCAGAUCUGCAUUAGGGUUCCGCCGUUCGUCGGUGUUCUUCCCUGUUCGUCUUCUUUCUGUUCUUAGAUGUCAUAACUUGAUUUGCAACUGAUAGUAGAAGUAGGCGAUGAUAGUCUAGCGUCCUUUACCAACCUCAGAAAACACCUUUUACUGCCUGAGAUCCAAUCAAACAAACGUGUUCUUCCACUACCACCAUUUUAGGUUAAAUUUAUUUCCUCCUUUUAGAACUGUGGCAAAUCCAAAUUUAUACCACCGAUCUGUGAAAUCUAUUUGCGCCAUACUUAGAAAUUUUUGUAAAUCUGUAGCCUCUAUACCAUUGUGGGCGGUUUAUCCUUUAAACUUUGAUAACUCAUCAUAUACCCUUAGCCCACUGUUAAACCGCCAACCUGCUUUAAAUGCUGAAAUCCGGUUUAGUACACCCAAAUGCUUGAAAUAUCAUCGUCUUCCAUCAUUGCACCGAUUUGUAAGUUGUAACCAUGAACUUUAACCCGGAUACCGUGCUUUUUUCCAGCUUGUCACCAGAAAUGGCCAAACAAUUCUGUUCCUGUAAUUGGGUUCCUUCUCGGGUUACGGAAGCGCAGCUGGCUGGUUGUGUUGCAACGGGCGCUUUAGCAAAUAAGGACACUAUGCAUUGGCGAGUCCCCGGUCCAGAAUUUCCUCCUGAACCCCAAGACGGAGAAGUUAUCGUAUUUACUGAUCACCUGAGCCGAGGCUUCACUCCUCCCGGAUCAAAAUUUUUACGUGAGGUGCUCGCCGACUUUCAAAUCCAUCCCCAAGAUAUCGGUCCAAACUCCAUAUCCAAUAUUUGUGACUGGCAAGUAUUCUGUGAAGUGUACCUGCAAGAGGAGCCUACUGUUGAUCUGUUCCGGGAUUUCUUUUAUCUAAACCGCCGUACUAAGUUUACGGAUGGCCCCAAUACUGAACUAGGCGGGGUUUCAAUUCAGAAGAGGAGAGAUGUUGAUUUCCCUCAUGCCAAGCUUCAUAGUCAUCCUAAGGACUGGAAUCAGACUUGGUUCUACUGCCGCAACACAGCCCCAGCCAAUGAAAAUCCUUUGCCAGGUUACCGUCCACAUCGGCUUACCCAAGCUCAUCCCUUUCCUCAACGGUUGACCGCCCAGGAGCGAGCAAAAUAUGCCCCUCAACUGGCAAAGCUCAGAGCCUUUGUUGCAAAUGGGCUGACAGGCGUGGAUUUUGUCUGAUGCUGGGUUUCAUGGAGCGUUUUACCUUUAAGCCAGCGGCCCGGUUUAAUGUGUGAAUACACAGGGGAUCUGAAAGACCCGCAACGCCAUAUUGACAUCCAGCUGACUGAUGAUGAAGUCACCGAAGCUAUUAAAAAGAUGCUUAAUGAGCCAAUAGAUGUAUGCAGCAAAACCGGGCUCAGUCCUUUCUAUGCUGCCAAUAAACCGCCAAAGGUAUAAUCUACCGUAUUUCUGCCUUUAUCCAUCCUUUGUUAAAUUUCUCCUUUGAUGACUUACUAUUUGUCUAUGCAGGCCGACGAUCCAUUCUGGAAGAAAAAAUCACAAGAUAAACCGGUAAAGAAUCCUCGGCUUAAGACCAAGGCUUCAAAAAAGCCUAUGAAAAGAAGGAACGUUGAACCGUCCGAGCCCAUUAUUGAUGAUGAUCUGGAUAUUCCGGAUUCAGAGGUAGAACUUGACUAUCUCGGUUCAUUUUUUAUACACCUUAUUGACAAUGAUCAUUAUCAGGAUGAAGCGGAAGCCAGCCAUGCUGAUGAGGUAACUAUUCUUUCUUCUGAUUCUGAUCCUGUGCCAGUACCAAGAAUCCGUUGAGCCAUUUAGAAAGUAAAAUUUUCAUGCCCUCUUUCUUAUUUGGACCCGCACUUUCUUUUAAAGACGCAUCAGCAUGAAGCUCGCCGCACAACUCGACAUAGUGGCCAAGUGGUGACCUCCUCCGGUUUACCAAAUUCGCUGGUUUGCAAAUGCCGCCAAGAGGUUGCUUAUACUCCUGACACCCUUUGUCACGACCAGAUUUUCGGGAUAUCAAUUUCCCAGAAAACGGCCUUUGUGCUCACCAGCCCCAGGAUUACUGUUAGCUCAUGAGACACUAACUUGAUACAAGAAUUCCAAGCAAGGUAAAAAAAUAUGUAGUACAAGACCAUGGUGGCCUAGGAGUACAACACUGGGUUUCUAGUGGUUGAUGGCGGAAGCGGUUUGAGGUACACCUGCGUCUAUGGGACUCCAUCUCCCACAAGAACAGCUGACCAGGAUAACUCCUAUCUUCGCGAGGCUGCUAUCGUCAGAAUGCAGGUUCUGGGGCUGUCGUCGCGAUGCUUAUCUCCAGGCAAGGAAUCUGGCCAAGACAAUAGCCAGGGACAAGCCAGUGAGUACGUUUGAAUGUACUCGCAAACAUUGAGAACACGAGUAUAACAUACUAAGAGGUAAUCAUACUCCGAAACAUUUUUAUGAUGAUAAGUCUGCCAUGAAUUUAAUGAAAAAAAAUCUGCGAUGCACGUGCGCAGAGAAAAUAUCGACAUGCAAUACGGAGGUAAAAGAAAUGCACUGAGCGAGUGUCUAAAAUGACUCCUCGAGAGGUUGCAAAUAACAUAACAAUGCCGCAGUCGGGCGUCUGAGCGACACCACAGAAAGGGCUUAUAAAAGAUAAAUAAACAACAAGCAUGCCGCAGUCGGGCGUCUGAGCGACACCACAUAAAGGGCUUAUAAAAGAUAAAUAAACAACAAGCAUGCCGCAGUCGGGCGUCUGAGCGACACCACAUAAAGGGCUUAUAAAAGAAUAAUCACAGUGAAUAUCCAGGAGGUAGAACCAUCCCAGGGAUACUCAAUAAAGUACAUAAUGUAAAUGGUUGGUCCAUAAUAACAAUAAUAAUAAAACAUGAUCCUCAGAUGUCACAGGUCAUAAACAAAAAUCUAGUUUAGCCGUUUCUCCAUCCGAAGACCGUCACUGAGUUCUAGCUAAUUCGUUCUCCAUCCGAAGACCGUCACUGAGUUCUAGCUAAUUCGUUCUCCAUCCGAAGACCGUCACUGAGUUCUAGCUAAUUCGUUCUCCACCCGAAAACCGUUACUAUGAUCUAUCUCAGACUGAAGUCCUUACUCAUGAACAUGGCUAUCCAAAUGGAUAUGACCUCUACAGAGGGUGUACUUUCCACCCACGAGUAACGGAUUUAUUUAGUCCUUCAGGACUAAUCCCGUCUACGGCCUUUUAAUUGAAAACACGCCUGACCUGCACACACCAGCUUAACUUACCGGUGUCUGGAAUCACCCACGACACCCGUCAAGCAAACUCUAAGUGGGGAGGCUACAACCUCGACGUAGCAUGGGAUCAAAUUUAUAUACGCGCGCUCUAAGGGGUGCCCCCCUCUCGGUCCCAACCGGAAACACCCAUGCCCCCGGACCAGGUGGCAUGCCUACCGGAUGCACCCGGUAUCUUCCACCAUGGCCUCUCUGUACGGUGUGUGCUUUGGUAAGGGGUUGACAACUUACUGAACCAUACCCCGUCUGCGAUAGGGACAAGUGGCAGUACAAACAAUUUGGGAAGAUACUGAUCAAGACUCGACCUACGACCGACUCAGGUGGUCCAAGUAUUCUCCGAAUGACCAGCCUAACCAACAAUGUUACCACUAAAGGAAUAAAUCACCACUCAUCAAGCCUCACCAUGCCAUACCGGACAUACUCGUCUCGAUGAGGAACUAGGGACAAGCUCGUGCCUACCCAAGACCACGACUUUCCCGGCUUCCUUCUGGUAUGCAUGAGGAGCUCACGAGGAUGAUCCAAAACACUAGCGUAUCCAUUGCUGACCACAAAAUAUCUCCAAAAAAAGCACUCAUGCACGAGACUUUAUCGUUACAUAAAGUUAACGCAUACUCCAAGUCAAACGGUGUUGUAAUCGUAUCAGAACACCACAACAAAAUAUUAUGCCAGAGUUCAGAAAUGCUUGCCUUCAAGAGUAUGCAAAGGAUGCACUUUUUGAAAGCCUUCCCUCUCCCCAAAAUCCUAUUUUGAGAAAUAUUCAAAUAACAAUUAUUUCAAACAUAGUAUAAGAAGUUGUCUCAAAUAUUUUUGAAAUAAAUCUUAAAAUGAACUAGACGAAAUUUGAGAGAGGUAGGAAAAGGAAUCAACUCAUUUGGAGUUUUAUUUUAAAAGUUAUAGCCAGUCAAAGCUUGGUCAAAUCUCUGUUUUUAAAUAAAACCAGAAAAGAAAAACGUUCGGGAGAGAAUACGCUUUCGCAGCAGAGGAGACGUACUCGGGACUUAUGCGCCUUCACUUAAAACAGAGAAGACGGCGCGCGGGUCACUGACAGUGGGUCCAGAGGGCCCACUGGUCAGGUUUGACCAUUCUUCCCUCUCCCUCCUCUUCUCUGUCCGACGGGAGCGGGACUCCGGCGAUCGCCGUCGACGAACGGCAGCUCCUCACGGGCAUCCGAGGGCGGGGAUGGAACGGCCAGACUGGGGUGGUCCUCUUGGUGGUAGAUGGGUCGCCGGAGGUGGAAGGAGUCGCCGGCGGCGAGCUCCGCGGCGGAGGGGGCUACGGGUGAGAAGUGCGAUUUGGGCUCUGGUGGUCUCCGAUUGAGGUUGGGUUGCUGGGCAGCUCCGCAAGGACAAGGGGAAGCUACUGGUGGUGUCGGUUGGGCGAGAGAGUGGCUGGCUGCGAUGUAUUUCAUCGGAGUUCGGCGGCGGCCGAACCGGCCGGAGUUGGGGAAGAUGGCCCUGAUCGGUCAAUCUACGGCUAGGGGAGAACCAGGGGAAAGGUAUGAGGUCGCUUGAGGUCUUGCAUGAGCUCGGGGGUCCCUUAAAUAGGCGCUCGGGAUUGGGCCGCGGCGGCUGAGGAUAAGAUCGCCGGCGACAGCCGUGCUGUAGCUGCAGGGCGGCGUGGCGGCGACGAGCGCGUGCCGACGAGCUUCGGGAUAAGACUGAGCUGUUCACGGGGGCAGCUGGCGCGCUGGGGUGGCUUGGGCGGCGCCGUCCAUGUCAGAGGUUCGCUGCCGACGCCGGCAUGCCGCCAAGAGCUCUGCCAGCGGCGCUGCAGGGCGCCAGAGGUGGCGUGGAGAGUGGGCGAGCUAGUGCGCGGUUCAGCGGGUGAGAAGGGGCCAGGGACGGGUCGCGUCGAGUGUGGCAGUGCGGCGCGGCGGCUCAGUGCGCGCGCGUGCAAAACGUGCGCUCUGGGCGUGCCCAGAGCACGCACGGAACCUGCUCGACGAAAUGCCAGGGCGGCCUAGCGCGCGAUGGUGGAGCUGGCAAUUGACAGGACUAGGCUAAAGAUAGCUGGGAGUUCAGUGGACAUGGUUGUUGGGUCAUGGGAGCAAGAUCACAGUGCAAACUAGGAAACAUGCCCAAAAUUGACUGUGCACCCCAGGUGUUCGACAGAAUGCCAAAAGCAUCUAGGCAACUCUUGGAGUGGCCAAAAUCUCCAGAUCAGGGUCUCUUUAGGUGUGGAUGAUGAAGGCAAGAUCAUAUGGGCAAAACCAGAAACUUGUUAGUGCAAGUUUUGCAAAACCAUAGUUUUGGACAGAAAGAAAAAGGGUUUAUAGCAUGCACUUAAAAACCUCCAAUGAGUCCACUCUCCUGGACUUAAGGGUUUUGAAGGAAGGGUUAAAAGCAGGAAAAAGGUCAUGGGCAUUGAAGCAAAAUAAAAUAGAGUUGCUGUAGAAACCACCAAAUUGGGCCAGAAUGAAAAAGAGGGUGAUUCACUCAAAUUUUUCAAAGAACAUCACUGGGUUUUUGCAUGAAGAUGAAUUGUAUGCAUCCACUGACAUCUCCAAACACUUGGAAGGAUUUUUAAAGAGAUAUUUAAAUGGGUUGUAGUGCAAAAGUGCCCACUGGACCAGAUUGGAAAAGUUGGUGUAGAGCUCAAAAUCUCCAAUGGCCAACAGAUAUUUUUGCAUAAGAGUGAUGUGGAAACAUCACAUGACAUCCCUAAAUUUUGGUGGAAUAUUUAAAGGCAUUUGUCAAAUGGUUGCAGUGCAAAACAGGCUCUAAAUUUUCUGAAAGAUCAUUUUUAAAAGGAUAAAGCUCGGAGAAACAAUUAUGCAAAUAAAUCCCCUGAUAAAGAAUUGUUUUUAUAAAGAGGGCACAUAAGUCCAACAAUACCUUUUGAAAGUUUUUUUUUCACUAGAGGUAAAAAUCCAAAAUAACAAACGGGUAAAUCUUGACAAAUGGAAAAGUUUUAUUUCCUGGCCAAAUUUUAAUAAAUAAAAACAAGGUCAAAAUUUUGGGGUGUCACACCCUUUACCCUAAGUCGGGUUACAUCCGAUAUCCUCUUAAUCCGUCUGACUCAAAUUAUCAGGGAACUUCCCAUUCAUCGUCCGGUGAGUCGUCAGCGACACAACUUCCUCUGAAAACCGUCCCUGGGUAAGCAUAACAUACUUUUAACUUUUUGGUCUUGUAUUAUAUUGUCAUAUCAAUCUUCGUGUCUGCUCUUUUUCAGUGCUAAAGCCAGACCAAGGAAGAAGGCUAGAUUGAAUAGGCCAACCGACCAUGAACCGGCUACCGAGCCGGAGAAAACCCCAGAGGCUAUUGACCCGGAGGCUAACACUGUUAUUGAUAAUCCGGAACCUCAAGCAACCGAUGCGCUUGUUGAACAGGUAGAAAAUAAUCCAACAAGCCAGUCAGCUGAUCCACUAAGUCCAACUGUUGAUCCGCCGAGUCCGGCUAAAGCAUCCGAUAAACCGCCAAGCUCUGCCAAAACUACGGACGACGAUGUUGUCGUAACUGGCCUUGGUUUCAGCUCCCCUGGUUGUCCUGUCGCGUUAUCAAAGCAUAGCACCAAAGAAGAAAUUUCUGCUAUGGACAAAGGGAAAUGGAAAUCCGAGUUAUCCAAUUAUACCAACCUCAGCGCUGAAGACCUUCAUUCUGGUUUUUUAAACCGCCUGUAUACAAGCCGUGACUUUGAAGCCGGUUUAGUAGGCCUGAUGAAGGAGCGGUAUGAGGUAAAUGUCACUUUCCCUUUGCAUAAAUAUUCCAAUAGUCCUUCUGUUAGGACUGGUCUAACGUAUCAACUCCAGUAGCCCCCAAGGGCCGGUGCAUAACAUUGGUUCGAACCGGGUCUUGAAUCAAUAUUUGCAUUUUGCUGGUGUAGCCCCCAUGAACCGGCUUCUAUCUUUUUAGAAUGAACCGGUACAUCCUAUUAAUCUCACCACUUAUAAUGAUGACAAUCCAUCUGAAUCUGAACAAAUACGCAUUAGCCCCCAAGUGUCAAGUAGAUAACUUGUUAUGUGCUUGAGACUUUAAAUUAAUAGCUGAUAAGAAGCAAUACGCAUUAGCCCCCAAGUGUCAAGUAGAUAACUUGUUAUGUGGUUGGGACUUCAAUGUUGUAAUGCUAACUUAUUAUCUGUAUUUUGCAGGCUGAGUUGUCCAAAAAAGACUCCCAAAUCACUGAUCUCCAAGGAAACAUCAAGUCUCAGCAAGACGAAACUUGCAAAGUUAAGAGCGAGCUGACCACCGCUUUAACAACCAUGGAGCAGCUGAAGGAAUUCUUCAAAGGCGAACGGGCAGAUUGGGAAACUGAAAAAACCACCUUGUUAAAGCGGGCAGAAGAUGCGGAAAACGCCCUUAAACCGGCCACAGAAGAGCUGAGCAGCCUGAAGCGGCAGAUUGAUGCCAUGACCUCUGCCAUCUUUGGUGACAAUCUCUUCACCAAUAUGUAACAACACUAGUUAUAAAAACUUCCGGUUUAAUAAUAAUAUGAUCCUUUUGCAGGUAGCCGUGUUACUCAUCUUGGCGCAGAUAUGCGCAAAAAAUUGAAGGCCGUCUAUACUUUGGUAGAGCAACUUUAUACCGACGCGCAACGAGCCAUCUGCACAGCUUCCAAUAACCAUCCGCCCCCGUCACUAAUCAAGGAAACGCUGGAAAAAUUGUCUAUGAUGCCUGCCCGGAUUGUGGAAUUGAAGAAAUCCGCUGCUAGGUUCGGUGCCCUUACUGCACUGACGCGUGCCAAGGCCUGGAUCUCUGACCUUGAUCUGGAAGAUGUUGGAAAUGGUUACCCAAGCCAAAAAGAGGACGGUUCAGAAUUUAACAAUGACGAUCUCCGGGCUAUCACAAGAGAGAUGCGACCACUGGCAAGUAAGUUGGCUGAAGAUACUAACUUGUCAAUUUACCAGAAUGUAUAUGACGCCAGUGGCAAGCGAAUAAGUGCUCCAACUUAUGACGUGGAAAAUCUGAUCUCGCCGAUUCGUAAGCACACUUACGCUCCAGAUGUUGAACCGUCUGAUCUUAUACACGACGAAGCUGUCUUUCAAGCCUUAUCAGGAAUUGAUUGGACAACUAUUGACUUCCAGCCACUGGGUGGAGAGAAGGAGGAUGAACCGGCGCAGGAAGAUCCGCAACCUUCACAUCAACCUGAGGCAGAAUCAUAAUCCGGAAGCCAAUUCAACUUGUGCCUAUUGUCAUCCUUGUGAAAAACAAUCAUUCUUAUGGGCAGUCGAAACGCCUUGUAAUAGGCUAGCUUGAACAGCUGAUCUGAUAUGCCAUCGUGCAUACUUGUUGCACACAAUAUUGUUAAUCCGUCAUGCUAUAUUUUCUUAUGAUCUUUAUCGAUUUUAUACAGCCCUGUUUCUGCAUAAAACAAAGUGAAAACUGUCCUGGCGGUUUACCGCCGGACGGGUCAUAAUGCCCAAUAUAUAGCCAAGGUUGAUAACCAUAGCUUUAAAUAAUGAAAUAUGAAACAUAUCAUACCUGUGAUAUUGAAUCACUUUGUUGGUUUACCAUCAUUCUUGUAAUAAGGGUGAAGACCCAAAUACUGAGUAUUGAUAACUCAAACCAUGUUAUGCUGGUAUAUAAUAAGUGAUGCCGGGUUAUGAUAAACACUGGAUGAUCAUCCUGGCAACUUAUAGUUAACUCCAGGCUGAGUUAAAUAAACACCAGUUUAUACGGAUGACUUAUAAUCAGGCCGGGCCAUUGGACGCCGGUUUAGCUCAAAACUUUAAUCAAGGGAGAAAAACAAAACUGACCAAUAAAAACCAGAGAAAAAAAACUUGUAGUCGAGGCUUUUCAAGGGCUGCCAGGCCCAAAUGCGAGGCUUUUCAUGGGCUGCCAAGCCACUGAGUUAAACCGUUUUACAAAGCCUUUUAAGAUGGUCCUCAAUCCUUAACCAAUCGCCGGUCUAUCAUUGACAAGUUCAGGGUCAUAUGCAAUUGACUUGUCAAGUUGGCGGGUCAUACCAGGCUUACCUGGGCGGAGUGACUUACUUAAUGAAGGCAGGUUAACCCGGGGUUUUAGGUGUAUAUACCAGGCUUCCAAGCCAUAGCUUGAUAGCCUAUUGCAAAUGUAGAUUUCUUUGUUCAUUGUGAUAGCAAAGAAUCCCCAAGCAACAUUUUGAGCUAUGCUCAAUGGGUGCCUAUGUUUGAGUUGUUCUUGACAACACUCUUUGGCCCCUAAGUAAUGGCAUUGCGCCAGCCAAAAGGUGUAGCUAUGGUUGAACACAACCAAGCCCCCAAGUGACUUACUGUCGUGGCUUUUGAGCCAGCCAAGAGGUGUAGCUAUGGUUCGAAUACAACCAAGCCCCCAAGUGACUUUCUUUUGUGGCCUUGAGCCAGCCAAGAGGUGUAGCUAUGGUUCAAAUACGACCAAGCCCCCAAGUGACUUAUAUUGAUAGAUAGCUGUAAAGCUGAUUCAAAGGGUAAACCGGAUGUCGCUUUACGAACGGAAACCUCCGUGUAACCACUCAUGAUAUGAGAAGAACAGCAGAUACCCCGCUUUAGCUGGGGCUCCGGUUUAUUAUAUUGAUCAUAAUAUAUACAUCGUCAAAAUAUGUACAUGAUAGGAGCCUAUGGCUCAGGUGUAGUACGGCCGUAGAUGAGCUAUGUUCCACGGCCGGAUCGUCUCCUCCUCUGACUUGCGUGAGUCUUUAUGCUCUCGAACAUCAAUGAGGUAAUAUGAUCCGUUGUUUAGAUUCUUGCUGACCACAAAGGGCCCUUCCCAAGGCGGGGAUAACUUGUGCAUAUCGGUCUGAUCUUGGAUAAGCCGGAGCACCAGAUCACCUUCUUGAAAAGUUCUGGUUUUAACCCGACGACUGUGAUAACGCCGCAGGUCUUGCUGAUAAAUCGCCGAGCGAGCCGCCGCUACGUCCCGUUUCUCAUCCAACAGGUCCAACGCAUCCUGGCGUGCUCUUUCAUUAUCUGCUUCAACAUAAGCUGCCACUCGUGGUGAGUCAUGACGAAUAUCACUUGGAAGGACAGCUUCCGCUCCAUAAACCAUGAAGAAGGGUGUAUAACCCGUAGAUCUAUUGGGGGUGGUGUUAAUGCUCCAUAAAAUGGAAGGCAACUCUUUAACCCAACAACCCGGUGUCCUCUGCAAAGGAACCAUAAGCCGUGGCUUGAUCCCCUUCAAGAUUUCCUGAUUAGCUCUCUCCGCUUGACCAUUAGACUGGUGGUGGGCCACUGAAGACACAUCAAGACGGAUGUGCUCUCUUUGACAGAACUCCUCCAUAGCACCCUUGGAAAGAUUCGUGCCAUUGUCUGUUAUAAUGCUGUGUGGAAAACCAAAACGGAAUAUCACCUUCUUCAUAAAUUGAACCGCCGUGGUUGCAUCACAUUUGCUAACUGGCUCUGCCUCCACCCACUUGGUAAAUUUAUCAACCGCCACCAAGAGGUGGGUCUUCUUAUCCUUAGACCUCUUAAAGGGUCCAACCAUAUCAAGCCCCCAGGUUGCAAACGGCCAGGUAAUUGGAAUCAUCCUCAGUUCCUGAGCCGGAACAUGAGCCCGGCGUGCAAACUUCUGACAGCCAUCGCACCUUUUGACCAAGUCCUCAGCAUCAGCAUGAGCCGUCAGCCAAUAGAAACCGUGAUGAAAAGCCUUAGCCACCAGGGACUUUGAAUCGACAUGAUGACCACAAUCACCUUCGUGAAUUUCGCGUAAAAUUUCACGACCUUCUUCAGGAGAAACACAACGUUGAAAAGCCCCUGAGACACUGCAAUGAUGUAGCUCGCCAUUGACAAUAGUCAUGGACUUGGAACGCCGGAUUAUCUGCCUGGCCAGAACUUCAUCCUCUGGUAACUCACCCCGGUUCAUAUACACCAAAUAUGGGAUCGUCCAAUCCGGGAUGACAUGAAGCGCCGCCACCAACUGAGCCUCUGGAUCAGGAAUAGCUAAGUCCUCCGUGGGUAGCUUGACCGACGGGUUAUGCAAACAUCAAGAAAAACAUUGGGCGGCACCGGUUUACGCUGGGAGCCCAACCGGCUUAAAGCGUCCGCCGCUUCAUUCUUUCGCCGGUCUACAUGAUCAACCUGAUAACCCUUGAAAUAACCUGCAACAAUACCCACCUCUCGACGAUACGCUGCCAUGAGGGGGUCCUUGGAAUCCCAAGUACCAAAAACUUGUUGAGCCACUAGGUCCGAGUCACCAAAACAUUUAACCCGGCUCAGGUUCAUCUCCUUAGCCAUCCGAAGACCAUGGAGCAGGGCCUCGUACUCAGCUGCAUUAUUAGUACAAGGAAACAUCAAGCGGAGAACAUAACAAAAAUUUUCACCUCGAGGGGAAGUAAGAACCACUCCAGCCCCCGAGCCCUCCGAUUGCCUGGAUCCGUCGAAAUGAAUCGUCCAGUAUGUGUUAUCCGGUCUAUCCUCCGGCACUUGCAACUCUGUCCAGUCAUUGAUGAAAUCCACGAGUGCUUGAAACUUGAUGGCCGUGCGAGGCAUAUAUUUUAAUCCGUGAGGCCCAAGCUCAAUAGCCCACUUAGCAACCCGGCCAGUCGCUUAUCUGUUCUGGAUGAUAUCUCCCAAAGGAGCAGAACUGACCAUAGUAAUGGGAUGGCCCUGAAAGUAUUGCUUCAGCUUCCGGCUCGCCAUAAAAACCCCAUAUACAAGCUUUUGCCAAUGUGGAUAUCUCUGUUUUGACUCAAUGAGCACCUCACUGAUGUAAUAAACCGACCGUUGAACCGGAUACUCCUUUCCUGCCUCCUUGCGCUCCACCACAAUAGCCACGCUGACAGCCCGAGCAUUAGCAGCCACAUAUAACAGCAAUGGUUCCAUGUCCAUGGGAGCAGCAAGAACAGGUGGUUCGGCAAGCUGCCGCUUUAGAGCCUCAAACGCUUCAUUAGCCGCAUCACUCGAGACAAAGUUGUCCGUUUUCUUCAGCAUUUGAUAUAAAGGGAUGGCCUUCUCCCCGAGACGACUUAUAAACUGGCUCAAUGCUGCAAUCCGGCCUGCCAGUCGCUGAACAUCAUUGAUGCACUUCGGUUUAGCCAGUGAAGUAAUAGCCUUGAUCUUCUCCGGAUUAGCUUCAAUGCCCCUGUUAGACACCAGAAAACCCAAAAGCUUGCCUGCUGGCACACCAAAAACACACUUGGCCGGGUUGAGCAUCAUCUUAUGAACCCGGAGGUUAUCAAAGGUCUCCUUUAAGUCAUCUAUUAAUGUUUCCUCCUUCCCGGACUUCACCACAAUAUCAUCCACAUAAGCAUGAACGUUGCGCCCAAUCUGGUUAUGAAGACAAUUCUGAACACAACGCUGAUAAGUUGCCUGGGCACUCUUGAGCCCAAAGGGCAUAGACACAUAGCAGAAGGCUCCAAAGGGAGUUAUAAAAGCUGUCUUCUCCUGGUCCUUAACUGCCAUCUUAAUCUGAUGAUAACCUGAAUAAGCAUCCAGAAAACUCAAACGCUCACAGCCCGCCGUAGCAUCAAUGAUUUGAUCGAUACGGGGGAGGGCAAAAGGAUCAGCCAGACAUGCUUUGUUCAAAUCCGUGUAAUCCACACACAUACGCCAGGUGCCAUUCUUCUUAAGCACCAGCACCGGAUUAGCCAACCACUCCGGAUGAAAAACUUCAACAAUGAACCCUGCCGCCAAGAGCCGGGCUACCUCCUCACCAAUAGCCUUGCGCCUCUCUUCAUUGAACCGGCGAAGGAAUUGUCGGACCGGUUUAAACUUGGGAUCAAUAUUAAGGGUGUGCUCAGCGAGUUCCCUCGGUACACCUGGCAUGUUAGAAGGCUUCCAUGCAAAGAUAUCCCAAUUCUCACGGAUGAACUCGAUGAGCGCGCUUUCCUAUUUCGGAUCCAGAUUUGCACUGAUGAUGAACUGUUUGGAUGAAUCGCCGGGCACAAAAUCAACCAUCUUAGUCUCAUCAGCCGAUUUAAACUACAAGGCCGGAUCAUGCUCCGUGGUUGGAUUCUUCAAAGAAGUCAUGUCUGCCGGAUCAACAUUGUCCUUAUAGAACUUCAACUCCUCUGCUGCACAAACCGACUCAGCAUAGGCCGCAUCACCUUCCUCACACUCCAAAGCGAUCUUGCGGCUUCCAUGUACUGUGAUAGUCCCUUUAUGACCCGGCAUCUUGAGCUGCAGAUAAACAUAACAGGGUCGUGCCAUGAACUUAGCAUAAGCCGACCGUCCAAACAAGGCAUGAUACGGGCUUCGGAUUUUCACCACUUUGAAAGUCAAUGUCUCUGAUCUUUAGUCAUACUCAUCUCCAAAAGCGACUUCCAGAGCUAUUUUACCAACCGGAUAGGCUGAUUUGCCAGGCACCACACCAUGGAAAACAGUGUUCGACGGUUUAAGAUUCUUAUCUGUCAACCCCAUACGAAGGAAGGUGUCAUAAUAUAAGAUGUUGAUACUGCUGCCUCCGUCCAUGAGCACCUUAGUGAACUUAUAACCUCCAACCUGAGGCGCCACCACCAACGCCAAAUGACCCGGAUUGUCAACCCGGGGUGGGUGAUCCUCUCGGCUCCAGACAAUAGGAUGCUCAAACCAUCGCAAAUAACGAGGCACUGCCGGUUCAACCGAGUUCACCGCUCGUUUAUGAAGCUCCUGAUCGCGUUUGCAUAAGCUGGUGGUGAAAAUGUGGUACUGUCCACUAUUCAACUGCUUUGGGUGACUUUGGUACCCUGACUGUUGCUGCUGCGGUCCUUGUUGGUUAUAACCACCCUGGUUGCUUUGAUUGCCUUGAUUGCCAUGUCCACCCUGAUUGCCUUGGAAUCCUGAACCGGAGUUGCCUCCUCCAUAACCCGGCCCAUAGGACCCGGAUCCUGAACCGCCAGAUGGUCCAUGAUCAUUCUGGAAGAAAUCUGAAUUUUUGAAUUCUCGCAUGAUAUAACAAUCUUUCCAGAGGUGCGUGGCCGGUUUGUCCUGCGUUCCAUGCUUCGGGCAGGGCUGGUUCAACCGGUAAUUCAGGCGCUCCGGAUUAGGACUGGGCUCUGCCCUUCUUGGGGGUGGCUUUCCUUUACGACGCUGACCAUUACCCUGUGUAUUGGUGUUAGCCACAAAAUCUGAAUUAUGAUCUGCUUUCCGCUUACCAUUAUUAUUGUGGCCCGUCGGGUUAUGUUGCUGCCCCUUGGCAUUGCCGCUCUUCUUUCCCUUCCCCGGUUUGUCAUCGUCAGACUCGGGGUCCUUGGUACUAUCAGAAUCAACAUACUUAACCAGAGCGGCCAUAAGUGUUCCCAUGUCAUUGUAGUGAUGCUUGAGCCGUCCCAACAUCAACUUUAAAGGCUGAAACGACAAUUCCCCUGCAAUGUUAAUCGCCGAGUCGGCAUUGAUGCGAUCCGAAGAAUGUAAGAUCUCUGAAACCCGGCGCACCCAAUGGGUUGUUGACUCGCCUUCUCCCUGGAUGCAGGCGGCUAAGUCCGCAAUUGACAUAGGUUGCUUGCACGUGUCUUUGAAGUUUGCUAUAAACCGGGCUUUUAACUCAGCCCAUGUCCCAAUGGAAUUAACUGGUAAGCUUUUCAACCAUGUGCGAGCUGUUCCAUCCAACAUCAUAGCGAAAUAUUUCGCGCAGGCCGCUUCAUCCACAUCUAACAUCUCCAUAGCCAUCUCAUAACUCUCAAUCCAUGACUCGGGAGGCACAUCAGCGGUGUAUUAGGCACCUUACGGGGGCCCUUGAAAUCCUUGGGCAGCCGUACAUUGCGCAAAGCCGGGACGAGGCAGGGCACCCCCCAAGAGCUGAAAGUAAGGCCUUGCUCUACGGAAGCCACCGCAUGAACCGGAGUGAGCUGACGGUCCUGCGCUGCUAACUCGGCUUCUCGACGUGCUCCGUUGUUCACCACAUCCUGAGCAUUUGCCCCACCACGCGCCGGAUCAGGUCCUCGAGGAGCGUCUCGGUUCCGCGCACUGCUUGACACAGCCGGUUCAUCGAUGUGCCUGCUAUAAAUCCGGCUCGGGCGUGGGGUUGAAUGAAUUCUGUCUCGGCUGUAUGAAUAAGCCUGCUGCUGCACCAUAGCCGUCUAAAGAAGAUCCCUAGCAUGCCGCGUCUCAACCGCCGCUGGGGAUUCACCCUCCAUUGGAAUAGCGGCUAAUUGUGAUGCGACAGCGAUCAUAUUAUCCAAAGGGGUGGAGAAGUGUCCCGGUGGCACCGGUACAUACUGCAACGGGUUAUGGGUCCGUCGAGGGGGAUCCAUCACCCGUGGCUGAUCCGGUGCUCCGGUCCUCGGCGUCUCAAUCCGGUUCACCGCUGCCGGAUUACUGGUUCCUGCUCCUGGCGUGCCAAAGAGAUUCAUUGCCUCAUAAACCAGUGGUAGUCGUGACCGAUGCCUUCUCCUUAACACGUCGUUUGAAUCGUUCUGAUCCAACAGCAGUCGAUAAUUCUCCGCCUGAAUCCGCUGUGCUUGUGCCUCUAAAGCGACCCGCUCCUCAGCCAUCCUGGUUUCUUCAGCCGCUAAGUCCUCCUUAGCUUGAGUUAUCUAAUCCUACAGCUUAGCCACCUCCGCAUUAUGCUAAUCUUGGGUGUCGGCGGUAACUUGUGUGGCCAGUAAGGUCGUCCAAGCGUCCAAUAAAUCAGACAAGAUUUGGGUCGGCCGGCGCGCGGGGCCUCCCGCCCCAGCUGCCGAUCCGGAAAUUAUUGCUGCCGCGGUUGAAGAUUGCAACGUGGGCUGAGUUCCAGCCAUGAAGAUCACAACCUGGUUCGACGAUUCAAAGGGGUCCGGAAUACUGUCGCCAUCGGAAUAGCCCCCAAACUGGCCAUCUUGGAGUUGGUACAGUGACCCGGUCUCCCCGGUGGACGACUCGUCAUCUGAGUAGACGACGGUCUCGCCAUCGGACGCCGGUUCAAGUUCCGCACCAUUGAUGAAUCCUACGAAGCACGCUUCACGGCGGGCUGAACCCGGGCAGGGCUUGCACGCUGAGCCAUCUCGACGAGGUCGGUGCAGAUGUCCGGCUCAGGGCCCGGUUCGCCGAUCUUGCCGAUGAAGACGUGAAUUCCUCCAAAGGGGACCCGGUACCCAUACUCGAUUGAGCCGGCCUCAGGGCCCCAGCCUGCAUCAUCAAUGUAGAGCUUGCCGCGACGACUCUUGGUCAUCCGGCCCACGGCGUAUCCCUUGAGCCCUUCAAAAUUGCCCUUCAAGAACUCAAAACCAUCGCGCGAUAGCCCCAUGAUGGGCGCCAACUGUCGUGGGUUUGUCACGGCAGAUGUCCUAGCGAAAGGACUUAGUCGUGGAGCCAUCGCAAUGGGUUAGCUUGAAGGGGUUAAAGCGGACAAGGGACGCAAGAGAGUUUUAUACUAUUUCGGCCCCUUCGAGGAAGGUAAAAGCCUACGUCUAGUUGUGAUGGAAUUGAUGGGGUUUUGUUGACCAGGGAGCGAAUACGCUUUGCCUGAGUCUCGAGUUGUUGUUUGUUGUCCUUGAACCGCCGCCGGGUCGUGCCUUUAUAUACACAGGUCGACGCCCGCUGGCUUACAGAGUCCCGAUGCCGGUUUAUACCCAUACCGGCUCAGUCUCUACUUUGUCAUACCUUACAAUACAAGUCAUGUACUACAUGGCGGUUUAUAGCUACAUGCCUUAAUCUACCUUUGGGCCUUGGGCCUUCGAGUCUCUGUAGUAAACCGCUUUAUUCCUUGUCUUCAUGGGCUUUUAAGUAUAAAAAAUCCAUUAUGGGGAUAACCCGGCUUCCUUUUCCGGUUUACACCUAGUAGUAAUAUCCCCAAGAAAGACUGUUUCUAACCACCUGUUUGAAGGAAUAAAUAAGGCAACAGAGGCUGAUGUCAGAAAGGCAUAUAUAGUUCUUUCUGAAAGAAUGAUCGAUUCCUGAUCCUUCCUCUUCUUUUAAGCAUAUUUUGUGCAGUUCAAUUAAAAUAAAAUGCCAUCACCGCCUUAACAAUUCAGUGACACUGUACAAAAGGAAAUGACUUAACAUUACAUCAUGAUGUCAGGUAUGUAGUCGACAGGCAUUAGAGACAAACUUAUAGACCUCCUCCGAUAACAUAAUGAACAUUAAUUUUAACAAAGGUGUGACUAGCUUUACCGGGAUAAUUUGAGUGAACUCUACACCCUCUGUUCCUUAACAUAAGACGUUUUCGUGGUUCAGUUUAAAGUACCCAAACGUCUACUAGUAUUUAGAAAAACAGGUAGUAGUUUUCUUGAGCACAUAUCUGGGAAAGCUUGCCACACUUUAUUUAUGUCCAUACGCCUAAUGCAACACCAUUCGAAAUUUCGAAUACUACAAAUAUACACUAAUCCAGUGGCUAGUGCAACAGUAGAGUAGUUAUUUUAUUACAGGGUACAAUACAAUGGUUUUACUGAACAGAUAUCAAUAAACUCUGGUACUGGAAGAUUUCUAUAAGAAUUAACAAUACAAAAUGUAAAGGUUACACGUUUCAGCAUUGGUAUACUAGCUGUGCAUGAGCAUUAAACCGAAUACAAAAGUCUGAAGGUAACUAGCAUUAUUAACUAAUGACAGUAUAAAAAAUUGCAAACCAUGUACCUCCAAGGUAAAUAUCAUUUCGAACUCGGGGGGGGGGGGCUUAAAAAUUGCUAUCCCAAUCUUGAUAAUCGAUCAAACAUAAAAACUUGAUCGAACGAGUCAAGAGAACAGUCGGAGGAGGAGGUGCCCACUCUUGACCUUUCCUCUUGUCUUCAUAAUUUUUUGUGCAAUUUAACCAAAAUAAAAUGACAUCAGCGCCUUGGCAUUUCGGUGACACUGUACAAAAAAAUAAACUUAUCUCAUGAAAGUGAGGUAUGUAAUCUAUAAGCAUUAACAGUGCAAAAAUCUGAAGGUAGUAACAAGUUUCAUCAUUGGUAUACUGGCUAUGCAACAGCAUUAGAAUGCCUUAGCUGAAAAAUCUUUAAUACAUCCACAAUCAACAGCUAACCCUGAAAUAAUCCAGUGACAUUAAAUGGCAUUGCUUAAAUUUAUCGGUGGCAUUAGACUGAGUGCGGCAUUAGUUAAAUGUGGCAUCACUUUAGCAGUAGCAUUGCUUGACUUGACUGCUGGCGUUAUACUAACAUAAAAAAAGUGACACUAAGAGCAUGGGAGGCCCAUUCGGACAGUGGGCACACCAGUACGAUGUACCUCCACGGACGCAUAGAGUGGUGAGGGAGGUAUGGUUGCCUAGAGCAACAAAUAUCCAUGCAGCAUAUGUGGAUUACGUCCCAUUUUUGUUAUGUUUAGCUACCCUUUUCCUAUGUGAGGACAACAAACCGAUUGACCUGGUCAUUCUCUAUUGCGUUGUCAUGCCUUUCUACCCUUCUUCAACCAAGAGACACGAGACUCGUUCCUUAGCUACUGAUUUCCCCUUUUCAACCUAGAUGCGGGUUCGAUGCCUACUCUUUUGGACAGUACAGUCUCCCUUCCUUUCCUUAUUCAACCCAGACAUGGAUUAGUCUGCAUGAAGUAGGGUUUCCUUUAAUAGUGCAAAUUAAGGUUUUCAUCUGCGUGACCAGCAGAGCAGAGGAUAGCAAAUUGGGAAGAUGGUGGAGUGGAAAAAGAUCCACAUGCAGUGACAUGGUAGAUGGGGCAAUAGAACAAGGGUAUGGUUCGAAAAGAGGUAGAAUACCUGAGGGCCGGCGGGAAGUGGCUUCGCUCGUGGUCGUCGUCCUCCGCACGCACUACGACAGCGAGCUUGGGGACGGAGGCCAUCCCGCGCGGGCGCUAGGUCUGAGAGGACGGCCUUGUCGUCAGUGCGUGACCUCGCUCGCCGACGACGAGUGUGUCAACGCUGCACGUCCUUUUCUUCCCCGGCGGAUCUGUGACCACCGGUGAGGAGGAAGAGAGAGGCCGUCUUUUUUAGAUCUGGAGAGAGGGUGAUAGUGUGAGAAGCAAGUGGGCAGCCCUUAGCAAGAAAGCUCUGAAGCUCCAGCCUAUAUAUCUUUUUUAUACUAGUAGUACUAGAUGUGGAGUAGUGGUAGAGUAGUUUAUAUUUUCUCUGCAAAUAGUACCAGUUAGUCGUGCUUCAAAACUGAACGACACGCCAUUAAAAAAAUAAAGUUGAGAAAUAAUGCGGCACCUCGGGCCAACGCGGCCAGAUCGCAUUUUGCACGAGAAAUUACACACCAUGUUUCGUUGACAUGUGGUCCCGUUCCAACAUGUCAGUGAGACGAUGGCGAGUCCUUUUGUACAAUUUCUGAAAGGACGUGUAGGCCGGGGCGACUCUUCGUGUACCGUGGCAAACUGGCAACCGUCCACCGACUCUUCGCCUUUCCCUCUCGAUUUGGAAUUGCCGUCGCACGGUCUUCCUCCCUCCUCCAUUUUCCUUCAUCCUUCCUUCUGCCAUUGUUCGAUCGUCUUCUCCAUGGAGGGAACAAGCCGGAAAUGACCCCGUUAUUCUUGCCCCGAUCUGAAAGAUGACGUGGUGGGGGAACUCAUUGAUCGGUGCGACGUCAUCACCUCGGCUAGCAUGGCAGGUUCGUUCAAGCCCAUUCUCGACUCAACUAAUAACAUCAUUACUAAGAACCCAAGGGUCCAGGAGCGGUUUGAUCUCCCUUAUCUUCUUCGCUAUAAGCCUGUUCGCAUAGGCGCGGACGACGGAGGCCUCGCAUUGUGCAAGUUGAUGCCGCUUGAUAAUGAUACGUGUGAUGUCAAGAUGCCAUCGCUUAAGGGUAAGUCCUGGGCUAGCGCAAAUGGAGAUUGGGUUGUUUAUAUUGGGUACAAUUGUGAGUGGGAACUUGUGAAUGUGUACACUCGUCAGCGGAUUCCACAUCCAAAAAUCUCAGAGUGCCCUGAGGUUGAGCACACAGAUGAUCUACGUACGUUCAAAUACGAUCAUGGUGACUGUCGUCUACUGAAGAUAGCAAUUUUGUCGAGUUCCCGACCGCUCUUGGAAUUACAAGAACUAUCAAGUUGUUGCUAUCUUUGACAAGCUGGUUGUCGUCCUUCGUGGUUUGACUGGAUGGAUAUUGCUCAAAAAUCAGUUUCUAUACACAGAUGUGUACUGUGAUGCAAUUGAAUACGAGGAUCUUGUGUUUGCUGCCACCACUCGUGGCACUGUUUUUGCAUGGGAUCCUCGUAGUUUCGAUACGUUUGUCUUCCACCGUAAUUAUGAUUGUUUCAUCCACAUGCGUGCGGGUUAGCAAGUUUCCCUUUACUAAUUAACCUUCUUCUUGUGUUUCCAAGGUCCUGUGAACAUUCCACCACCUAUACUUGAAAAAUUUUAUAAGCAAGGGGGAGAUGACGAUGGUGAUUAUCAUGAGCAUGAGGAGGAGCAUAACUUUUAUACUCAGUGGCGCCUGGCAACUAAUUCCGAUGGAUCACCUCUUCUUGUCUGUAUACGGUGCACUCAGACUGUUACUACUGAGGAAGCAGGUGUUGUCUCCCAUGGUCGCCCUCUCCUGACCUAUUCCAACACCCGUUGCAUGGUAUUCAGGACGGAUACUAGUGUGCUAGCGCCAACACCUUCUCCCUGGUUCAAUAUUGAUAGUCUUGGAGCAAACUCGCUCUUCCUUGGACCAAACUAUCCAAUGAUGGUGAAAGACAAUCCAGCUGCUAUUGACACAACGUUACUACCAUUUAUGAGAAGCAACUGUAUCUAUACCUCGGACAUUUCGGUGGUUCCCUACCCUCGUCCUGAUAUAUGCCGCUUUAGCCUGGAUGAUCAGUCCUGCAUUGCUCUCGAUAUUGACAAUAGCUGGCCCUUCCCAGAGCACCUAUGGUUCAAAGCAAGUGUUUCCAACGCCGAGGAUUGGUUGAGUUGAAGUUCAUUUCAUUGCUUGUUAUUUGUUGUGUGAUGAAAACUUUAGUAUCUGCUAGAAUGUUUUGUUGGAAAUAAUCUAUAAUCCAACAUGUAUCCUCGUUGUCGUUGUGUGUUGAUGACUUGUUGUAUUUAAUGAAUGGUACAUUUCAGUUGCAAAUGCAUGUCAUAGACUCAAUUUAUGAAUGGUUUUCGAGUCACUUCUUGGAGUGUGAGUACCGUAGUAGUAUAGCCAGCAUCCGGUUAGUGUAUGAAGUUGCCACAUCACAUAGAGCCAACCUAAUAUUGGAGUAUGCUAGCCCUCCACCGGCGCACCGCUUCAAAUGGUGGAGGAAGUGAGAGGUCGCGUCACCUUGUGUCUAGAUCUGAGACGCCACGUGUACCAGAUGAAUGACUCCAAGUUUGACCACCGUGAUGCUAGGUGCGAGCCAAGGAAGACUGUUGGAGAGACCCCCCUCAUAAUUUUCCUACAUUGGUCGUUUGAUUCAUAGGAUAGAAUGCUAUAGGAUUUUUUUUCCUAUGUAAUCAUGUUUUAAUUGGCAAUCUAGCAUCUACUCCAACUUUUGUUUCACUUCCUUUGUUCCUACAAAGAGAGUACUUGCUCUAAAUGAUGUGCCGCUGUAAGAGCCGCCUAUAUUAAUUAACCAUGCUCUAAAAAGGUGGACCAGCUUUGGCUAUAGUAGUACUGUACUAGGUUAGUAGGUGACCUUGCGCUUGGCUCUUCUCUUCCGGAAGUCGAACAAUAAUGAUGGUGCUAUAGUAGUACUUCUGGCAUCUGACACCAAAUGAACUGCUGCACGUCCACCGCUUGUUAGCAAAAGUUUCUCCUCGUGCUGUGAGCCACCGCGCACGCGUUGGCGAGGGAGAAGGCAUAGUAAGCAAGCUUCACGUCGUUCUGCGAGUUGACGGGACACAUCAAAGUUAUUUAUUAGUACUCUCUUCAAAAAGGGUUGACCAUGUCCAUGGCUACCAUCCCGUGCUCUGUCAUUGAGUACAUGCACUAUUCACGUGCCAUCGAUGAGAAAAAUAUUGCGUAGUACUAGGUGCCAUCGAAGUGCAUGACUCACUUACGCACUGCAUAUCUCCAUUUUCUUGCAUGACACGCCACCUUGAUGCUAGAUGCCCCGCGUGUCAUGGAGGCAUAUAGUAUGAUUUUUUGUAAAAUGGAGGCAUAUAGAUGUCCCGCAUGUCGGCAACAGGAUGAACAAAGCUCAUGUCUUAAACGAAAGAGUGGAAGAACAUAGAUUCCCGACGACCGAGAAGGAGCUACAAACCUCGGGGUGGAGCGUCUGCACUCAUAAUAUUUUAUAUUAUUCAGCGAUAUAAAAUCAACCAAAUCUCUCCACGUUCCUAUACCAUUCUAUAGUAUGAGAAUAACUUUGAACGUAAGCCAUUGAUUCACUCUAUCCAAUGGUUAUAGUUGGAAAAUCCAAACAAAACCACGCAUUGGAUCAACUCUUUUUUCGAGAUCAACUCUUUUAGCACUUAGAUUGUUGCCGCCUGCCCACCUAGCCCACCUAUAUACCCGCUCACGUGUGAUGACCAAAGGAGCUAUCCACUCAGAUUGUAUGUUAAAAAACAAAGGUCGAUAACUAAUGUGGCACCUCGAGCCAACGCUGCCAGAUCGCAUUUUGCACGAGAAAUUACACACCAUGUUUCGUUGACAUGUGGUCCCGUUCCAACAUGUCAGUGAGAAGACAGCGAGUCCUUUUGUACAAUUUCCGAAAGGACGUGUAGGCCGGGGCACCUCUUCGUGUACCGUGGCAAACUGGCAACCGUCCACCGACUCUUCGCCUUUCCCUCUCGAUUUGGACCUGCUGUCGCACGCUCUUCCUCCCUCCUCCAUUUGCCUUCACCCUUCCUUCUGCCAUUGUUCGAUCGUCUUCUCCAUGGAGGGAACAAGCCGGAAACGACCCCGUUAUUCUUGCCCCAAUCUAAAAGAUGACAUGGUGGGGGAAAUCAUUGAUCGGUGCGACGUCAUCACCUCGGCUAGCAUGGCAGGUUCGUUCAAGAACAUUCUCAACUCAACUAAUAACAUCAUUACAAGGAACCCAAGGGUCCAGGAGCGGUUUGAUCUCCCCUAUCUUCUUCGCCGUGACCCUGCUGACUGGCGCGGGGAUAAGGGAAGCCUCGCCUUGUGCAAGUUGAUGCCGCUUGAUAAUGAUACGUAUGAUGUUAAGAUGCCAUCGCUUGAGGGCAAGGCUUGGGCAGGCGCAAAUGGAGAUUGGGUUGUUUAUAUUGGGUACAAUUGCGAGUGGGAACUUGUGAAUGUGUACACUCGUCAGCGGAUUCCACUUCCAAAAAUCUCCGAGUGCCCUGAGGUUGAGUACACAGAUGAUCUACGUACGUUCAAAUAUGAUCAUGGUGACUGUCGUCUACGGAAGAUAGAAAUUUCUUGAGUUCCCAACCGCUCUUGGAAUUACAAGAACUAUCAAGUUGUUGCUAUCUUCGACAAGCUUGUUGCCAUCCUUCGUGGUUCGACUGGAUGGAUAUUGCUCAAAAAUCAGUUUCUAUACACGGAUGUGUACUGUGAUGCAAUUGAAUACGAGGGUCUUGUGUUUGCUGCCACCACCCAUGGCACUGUUUUUGCAUGGGAUCCUCGUAGUUUCGAUACGUUUGUAUUCCACCAUAAUUAUAAUUGUUUCAUCCACAUGCAUGUGAGUUAGCAAGUUUCCCUUCUCUACUAAUUAACCUUCUUCUUGUGUUUCCAAGGUCCUGUGAACAUUCCACCGCCUAUACUUGAAAUUUUUUAUAACCAAGGGGGAGAUGAAGAUGGUGAUGAUCACGGGCAUGAGGACGAGGAGGGCCCAUAUACUCAGUGGCGCCUGGCAACUUCCGAUGGAUCACCCCUUCUUGUCUGUAUACAGCCCACUACUGAUGUUACUACUGAGGGAGCAGGUGUUGUCUCCCAUGGUCGCACUCUCCGGACCUAUUCCAACACCCGUUGCAUGGUAUUCGGGAUGGAUACUAGUAUGCUAGCACCAACACCUUCUCCCUGGUACAGUAUUGAUAGUCUUGGAGCAAACUCGCUCUUCCUUGGACAAAACUAUCCAAUGAUGGUGAAAGGCGAUCCAACUGCUGUUGACACAACGUUACUACCAUUUACGAGAAGCAACUAUAUCUAUACGUCGGACAUUGCGGUGGUUCCCUACCCUGGUCGUGAUAUAGUAGGCCGCUUCAGCCUGGAUGAGCAAUCUUGCGUUGGUCUCGAGAUCGACAGUAGCUGGCUCUUCCGAGAGAAUCGCUUGUGGUUCAAAGCAAGCGUUUCCAACGCCGAGGAUUGGUUGAGUUGAAGUUCAUUUCAUUGCUUGUUAUUUGUUGUGUGAUGAAAACUUUAGUAUUUAUAAUGUAUCCUCGUUGUCGUUGUGGGUUGAUGACCUGUUGUAUGUAAUAAAAUGAUAUGCCUGUGAUAAACUCACUAAAUUUAUGAAUGCCCAUCGAGUCGCUUCUCUGAGUGGGUGCUGCGACGAGGCAAACAAAUAUUUUCUGAAUACAUAAUUGUACGUGCAUUGCAACAGGUUAUCGGAUGAGGCCAAUCAACAAUAGUACACUAUUUGUACUAGCUUCACAUGCUGCACUAUCUCUACGUCUACGUACGUAAUACAAGUUUUAAACUUGAGACCAGCCACCCAUCCUCACAAAGAACACUUUUUAACCUAGCACAGACUCCAGGAAAUUUGGCCACAGUGUGAGGUGGGCCAUAUGUACAUAACCAGCACCUCGAAUCCUCGAUACUACUACUACUA